CGGUUGUCGAAGCCGUAAAAAAUAAACCUAUUAAACAAUCAAUAAUUAACUUGCAGAUAGUGGCAAUAGGGUCGAACCACAGGAAUUUGACACCAAAGAUUUUUCUAAUAAUGACUAAGGCAAAUAAAUGAUAAAUUAAUAAAAGAGUGGGGUUUUGUUUUGAUGAAUUAAAUCUAGAAAGCAAGAGAAAGCAAUAAUUUAAAUAAAUGAGAAUUUCAAUGGGAAAGAGAUUCUAGUUGAAAUAUGAGUUUAAUUCAGCUUGUUCAUAAUUGAUCAUUGACUAAUUAAGACUCCUAUUUUGUUUCAAUAAAUUAGUUUUGAUUGUGGAAGACGCUUCUCACAACCAAAUUCCUCCUUAGUUCGAGUUCGAUUAGGAAACGUUCGCCAAUAAAAAACUAAUCAAUAAGUUGCCAAGGAACGUCCUUGGGGCAUUUAGCAUCGAACAACUGUUGACUGCAUUAAAACUUAGAGAAAUCCAAUUCUAUCCUUGCCAACUACGUGGUCAAGUCUAGAUUAUGCAACUGAUUAUAUUUGUGUUCAAAUAAUAAAAGCAAUUACGAAUUUAAAUCAUUCAAACAAUUUAUUACUCAAGCAAUUUAAAAGCAAUGGACCCUUAUUGAUUCUAAAAGCAAAGUAACAAUUAUAGAAAAGAUCAAGUUGCAUAAAUAUUGAAAGCAAAUAAGAGUUUAACAAUGGAGUUUUAAAUCUCCCAAUUCAUCACAAAUCUGAAUUUCCUCAACUUCAACUAGAAAAGAAUGAAAUUAGCCACUCAUGGUGGGCAAAAUACACAAAAGAAAGAAGAAAGGAAGAGAAGAAGGGACUGCCGCAGGCUUCCUGUUGAAUUCUGCAGAUUUCCGAAGGUGGAGAGGAUGUUUUGCUGGUCUGGAGGCUGCCUUCUUAUAGUUGGAGAGUCCAAGUUCAAUCAGAGUUUGGAAUCCCUAUUUUGACUUGGUCUUUGUGGUCUUUAAUUCCUCUUUUAUCUUUGAAUUUUGUUGUAGAUGGAAUUCUCUUGGUAGAAGGACAUCUUUGUGACUUUUGGAAUUGAGCUGGUGGUGUUUGAGAUGGAUUUGGACUUCUUUUCUUUUUAAAUCUGAUUUUUCCCUUUUUCUCGCUCUGCUGUCGGUUUCUGCUGUAAUGUGGUUGGGGCGGGUGAUUUGGGCAAAUCACUUGCCCCAAUCGCUUUCUGUGAGUCAGUCCAGUUUUUAGCUUUCUGUCUCUGCGAGUGAUUUGACCAGUCUCUGCGAGUGAUUUGGCCAAAUUACUUUGACCCAUCACUUUUUCAGCCUUUUCUACAGUUUUUCUCCAAUUUUCCAAUUUCUUCCUUUUCUGUAAAAACAAGAUAAAAACCAUAAAUUAAGCUAAAAAAUGUGUAAAUAAGCAAUAAUAAAGAUAAUAAAAAUGUGGCUAAUUUAUAUUUGAUCAUAAACUGAGCUAAUUAGUUCUAAAACUGGAGGAAAACUCCUGGUCAAACAUAAAAAUCAUCAAACUAAUUUUUUUUAAGAAAAAAAUUAUGUAUUAUAUGUAUAUAUAUAUGAAAUGUAAAAUUAAUUUCUUAUAAUAAUAAAAAUAUUAUCAUACUAGUGGCUUUUUUAUCUCAUCAUAAUUCUAAAUAGUAAGGUACUGAAUAUAUAUCUUACAAAAAUUAAUUGUGGUAAUCGACUAAAAUCGGCUGCUAUAAUUGACUUUGAUGCUAAAUUUUAAACUGCAGAUAGAUUUAAUGACAUAUUUUUUUGUCUAAUUUUUUGACAUGAUUCUAAUCUAUGCUGUAACGACCCAGAAACCGGACCGCUACCAGCGCUAGAAUUUAGAUCGACUUAAGGUCAUCGAAACCCGUAGCAAGCCUACUAUACAUUCUGUGUACCUGAUAAAAUCCCAUACAGGAUCAUACAUUAUAACAAAACUUAAACAUUUCAUGAACCAUAACUCAACCUGUGCAUGUAUCAAAACUAUAAACAUAAAACCCAUACUAUAGCCCUCAUCAAAUGCUCUAAUAUGGUUAACAUCACAUGUCUCAAGCUUGGUUCAAACAUGACUCAUAAUUAAAAAUUUUUACAUAAUGAUUAUGUUAACAGAAAUUACAAAGGUAAAGAAAACUAGGGCCAAGCACAAUUCUAAUCCAUUAAACUUUACAUGUCCACACUAUUCUAUUACAUCAGACAAUACCAGCUACUAUGUCGGCUUCCCGAGCUAUCUUUGACCCUGCAAACCUAGGGUUAGGGGAAAGGGAUAAGUUACAAGAGCCUAGUGAGCAGAACAUAAAAACAGUUUAAUAAACAUAUGCUCGUAUGAAAUGCAUCACAACACAAACAAUUCACAUCAAGAUGGACUUGUCACCAGUAACCCUCUACAUAUUCCAAUGUGCACAGCCCUCGACAGAGCUCCUCAGGACUUUCACUUAAACAUAACAUAACAUAUCCAAAAUGCCAGGGGCGUAGAAUGGGCCUCACUUGGACUUCUGUAUCGUAUUGUAUUAUAUCAUCUCGAGGGCUAGUGGGUCAUCCAAUAUCCAUCCACAUCAAUAGUAAAUUAUGCAAAGCAUCAUAUUCGUGAAUUCUAAUGCAAACAUUCUAAUACAUAAACAUGGCAUUUGUGAUGCAUGAACAUGCUUAAAAGUUUGAUUACUUUAAAACAAUAGUUUAGUUCAAUUCCACUCACCUCUGGCUGACGCUCGCCUAAAACUAGUGCAGUUAUCCACUGCAGGCUUCUAUGGUCUCCCAGGUCCGAUCCUACACAGAUGGACUCAAAUGAGGGACCAAACAUAACUAUUACAUGACUCUAAACAAUUCCCCAAAAACCCCCCUAAAAUAUAACAAAACAUGCACAUAAAACAUGCACAUAAAACAAGCAAAGGAAGGCUGAACAAGGGACUUUCGGCAGCAGGUUCGGCAGCCGAAGGUCCCUCACAGAUCUGAAAGUCAAGGACUUUCGGAGGCAGAUUCGGCGGCCUAAACCCCUUCACAGAUCCGAAAGUCCAUGCUUUUGGGGGUAGGUUAGGUGGCCAAAAGGCUGCCUUCACCAGCAGGUUCGGCGGUCGAAUCUUGCUUCGGUGGCCGAACCUGGGUUCUCUAGCAAGGCAGAACCCGAUUCUGCCCUAAAAAAUCAGCCACCAAAACUCUCAAAUCCUCACACUCAACUCCUCAAAACAUGCAUACACACUCAUCAAGCAUAAGAGACAUAAAAAACUAGACUAAACUCCAACAAACAACAAUAAAAACUCAUAAGAUCAAACAUUCAUCAUCAAAACUAACACAAAUCUUAAAACUUUAGAUCUAACCAUUUCAUGCAUUAUUAACCCUUUAUCCCUUCUUAAAACUUGAUUAAAUCAUAAGAAAAGCAAGGAUCUAGGCUUACCUCUUGGAGAUCUAAAGGUGAUAGCAACCCCAACGUGAAGAUGAGGUAAAAUGAUCUCUGAAGGUCUCCAAGGUUUCAAAACUUGGAUUCAAGUUCAAAUCUUCAAAAACAAGGCAAAACUCAUGAAUUUUCUGAAAGAUUUGAAGGAAAAACGAUAAGAACUACAAAGGGAGGGCAUGAACCUACCUCUGCCAGAAAAUGGAGAGAAAGCUCUCCCAUUUUCGGGCUGAAGGCCUCUUAUAGGUGGCUGGAUAAACCACCUUCAGGGGCCGAAAGAAGAGGUCCCGCAGCGGCACCACCUUCAGCGGUCGAACCUGGUUUUCCCCCUCCAAAACUAUUUUCUUCAAAACUCUUUUCUUUCUUUCUUAAAACCUUAAGAUUUUUUUUUAAAAAAAUUCAUUUUAUAAAAACCUUAUUUUACCCUUACUAAGGAGAUUCCAGCUUUGGGAUUCUAGGUUCCAACGGAGAUUCCGCCAAAAUUGGAAUUCCGACGCCGGAGUCUAGCCGGGUAUUACAUUCUACUAUAUUUUAAAUUUUAUAUAACAAUAUUUUAAUAGUAAUUAUGAAAUUAUUAUCUUAACACUUUUAAGAUAAUAGUGUGAUAACAAUUGAAAAUUGUUAUAAAAAAAUUAUUUUUUUACUAUAUAUAAUAAUAAGGGUACGGGAAUAAUACGAUUUUUCAACAAUAAAUUGUGUAUUGAAAUAUUUACACUCUUCAAAAAUUUAAUAUAAGAAGUUUCAAAUCAUGACAAAUCAAGUUACUAUCUCUUCAAAUAUACACUUCCUAUACUAUAAUUACACAUUUCUACACUAAAAUUAGGGUUUUGAAACUAUAAAACACACUUAAGGUGGCAAGCACGAUUAUAAAAUUAAGAAAGAUGAUAUUAUGAAUAAUAUUUUGGUUUUUCUUUAUUAUUUAGCAACUUAUCAAGGUUGAUACCAACUGAUGUGUAAUUCAGGAUCAAUUCGUGAUCAAAAAUCCUGUUACACAACUUGACAAAGAACAGGCAAAGAUAUCUUUCAGAAGGUUGGUCUACUACACCCGUAACCAACCAAUGUAAUUAAAAACGAAGAGUAUGGAGCAAUAAACCAGUUAAAAACACCACAAGGAAAAUCUUUAUAAGUUUGCUAAAUACAGAGGUACACAAAGAAAACUCAUCUUUGUAUUAAGAAAAUCAAAAUAUUAUUCAUAACAUUAUCUCUAUUCAUUUUAUAAUAUUGAUUGCCACCUUAAGGGUGUUUUUAUAGCUUCUACACCCUAAUUUUAGUAUAGAAAGGUAUAAUUACAAUAUAAAAAAUGUAUCUAGUCAAAUAGUUAAAUCUAGACUACAUUAAAAAUUAUUUUUCUAAAUUUUCUUAGAGAAAUCACCUUUCUAAAUGGACAGCAUGAAUUUUACUUCUAAUUUAGGCCAAAUUAAUUUAAAAUAAAUCCCACAAAAUAUUAAAAUUUCAAAAUAACAAAAUUGGCCUAAGUGCAAUUCGGCCAUACAUGCAUUACGUGAUCUGAAAUUAUGUUGCGCGUCCACAUGUGUUGAAAAAUAUGUUGCUUAUUUUUUUAUUCUCUCAUACUUCCCAAAUAUAGUUCUCAUCUUGUAAAUAUGGAAUUAAGCGAUGGUAACUUGAUUUUUCAUAAUUUAGAGCUUUCCAUUUAAAUUUUUGAAGAGUGUGAAUACUUCAAUACACAAUUUGUUAUUGAAGAAUCAUGUCAUUCUUGUGCUCGUAUCAUAUAAUAAUAUACUUUAACAAAAAAUUUAUUUUAUUUAAUAAAAUUAUAAUUUUAGCUGCGCCUUUGAUCCAUUACCAAAAAAUAAAUAAACCGCUACAGUAUAUUUAACAGGAGAGGCAGAUGUAGCAUAUUUCAAACUAUUGCUAUUGAUCUAUGGUUAUAAUUAAAGUAUAUAAGAUAAUAAUUUACAAUUGCUGCCGUAGGUUCUAUUUGUUUCACGGAAAAUAUUUUUCAAGAAAAUAUUUUUUGUGUUUUCUAGUGUUUGAAGCACUCAGAAAAUUUAGUCAAUGGAAAAUGUUUUGCUGAUCAAAGGAAAAAUUAAACCAUUUUAAGGAAAAUGACUUUCUCUUUUAAAAAAAGAAAGUUAUUUUCCAUCCAUUAACAUCUUUGUUAAGGCCUUUAUAUAUAAAUCUUAUUUUUUAAAUUAAAAUUAAGAAAUGAAAAAUAAGUUACCUCAUUGAAAAAUAUUUUCUGUAAAACAUUUUCUACGAAAAAUAUUUUUCAAAUACAAGUUAUUUUCUACAAACAAAUGGAAGUUUAGAUCCAUAUUUGUAGUAGUGCUAUUACACUCAAAAUAAUCAUAAUUUAUUUCAAUUUGUAUGAAAUUUAAAAUGAUUUAUAUUUAAAUGAAAUUUAAUAUUUAAUUGAGACUUAAAUGAUAAUCUUUUAAUAUACUUUUGUGUAUGAUGUCAAUAUAAUAAAUAAUAUCAAGAUAACAUGUUUAGAUAUCAACAUAAGUGAUAUGUAUAACAUCAUAUAUAAUAAUACUGUAAAUUUUUAUUAAAGUGAUGUUAAAAAUUAUAGGUUUUAGGAUUUAUGGACAUUAUUAUAUAUCUGCUGAUCUUUAUUAAUAAUAUUUUUUGUGUAUGGUGUUGUAUGUUUGAAUGUUUGUUGGAAUGUUGUCUCUUACUUUUAUCGAUAAUUACUAGAUAUCUGUAAAUAUCAGUGGAAUAGGCCUUGAAUUAUAUGAUGUCUCAAUAUGACCCCUUCGUGACUGUACAAGAUUGUAAAUACUAUAAUGUUGGUUUUUCUUCUAGUAUCCUUUUAACGUUGAGCCUAUAAAGGGUUGUGAAGAGUUGUCAAACUCACUCCUUUUUCUACGUUAAUUUCUUGAUUUUACUUUGUUCUAAAUGGAAAAAAAGAGGAUUUUUAUUUGGAUUUCUAAUUUUGGUCAGGUUUGAAGCUCAAUGUACUAGAAGGAACCAAUAAAAGCUAUUUUAAAAUUGUCACAUUCCAAGACCUACGGAUAAAAAUAGAGGAACUAUUAGACUUAAAUUGUAUCAUUCUAAAGUUAGGGUAAUUAAUUUCAAGGGAGGUCUUAGCUUAACCCCGAGCUAAUUAGGGGAGGUGCUAGCUUAUCCAUAACCGCUUGACACGCAAUUCGCUUAUAGGUAGAGUACUAAAAGUUUUGUUUAAAGGUCUAUCUUGCAUUUCAUAUAGAGUUAUACAUGCAAAGAUAAAGUUAAAAUAAAAAUGACCAGUAAUAAAAUUUUAAUAUCUUUAAACUGCAAUAACUAAAUUAUAGAAAGCACAAAUAAGAAAACAGACAUAUCUUAAAAUAAAGCAUCUAAUGUGAUAAGUAAGUCGAAAUCAAGUAGCUUUCGGGAGAUGCUUAAAGGUUUUCCGACAUAUUAGCUUGAGGUGCUUGUUAAAACCGACGUGCUUACCUAUAUGAAAUGGACUUCUAAAUGUUAGAAGUGUAACUUUAGUAGGUCAAUCUAUGAAUAUUAAAAGUUUAAAAACUAAAUUGAAACAUGGAAAAAAGUUUAGUAGGUUAAAGUGUGAAUAUGAAAAGUUUAAAAGUAAAUUUCAGUUUGGUCCUCCAUUUUUUUCCAUCUUUUAACCUAAACCCUCUGUGUGUCACCUAGCUAUACAUGAAAGAAAUGACUAAGCAAAAACAAAAAGGUGUCUUCUAUUUUUUCCAUGUUAGCUGAACAUACACCAAAAAGAAAGACAAAAUUAGUUUUCUUCUUUUUUCCAUUCCCAUCUUAUUUCUCCAUCUAAAUAGAUCUCCAUCCAUGAAAAAUCCUUUCCUAAGUGAAAUAACUAGCAAAGGAAUCAUAGAAGAAGAGGAAAGAAGGAGAGAAAUUUAGGUGCUUAAAUGGUAAGUGAUAGAAAUUGAAAAUUAGGUUAGACAAACAUAUUCUUCCAUGUUUUCAAUCAAUUUUAUGUUGUUAAAUGAAUUAAAACUUCUAUUUCUCUUAUUCUUUGUAAAGAACAAAUUCAAAAGGAGAAAGGUACAUCAAAGAGAAAAGGCAAGGAAAAAGAGUAACUAAGGUACACAUAAAGCUUUUGAAAAGAAUUGUGCAAAAGGUUUGGUCUUUGUAUGAAUUUUUAUUUUUCCUUUGAUUUUCUCAUAAAUAUGUAAAAUUAGAUAUUGGUUUUGACUGCUGGAAAUAUUUUUUAAUUGUAUGGAUGUGUAAUAUGAAAGUUGAAAUGAUGUUUGGAAGGUUUAAAGUAAAUAAAUACAACACAGGAGCUAAAAAUGCAAAACUGACAGAAUAAGUUCCAACAGGAUAGCUUUUGUUGGAAACUUCAUAACUUAUUGUGUAAUCGUUGAAAUUGAGCCUAACAUAUAUCAAAAGAAAGAUGAGAAAAAGAACUAAAACUUUUAUGAGUGGUCGAAUUUUAAAUCUAUAGCUAAGUAUAUAUAAAUUGCUAGUGAAUUUAAACUGGUUACAGGGAUAGUACAUUCGAAACAGUCUGUAUUGCUUAUACCAUAACUAAUUUUUUACUCAUUGAAAUGAGUUAAGACCAAUGCCAAAUCAAUCCUGAGAAAUAUACUUAAAAAUGUUUUGAGAAACUUAAGCUUAAAUUUGUAUAAAAAUAUAUGCAUAUGAUAUGUUUUUUUAAACUAAAAAAAAAGAUGCCAAAACUGUACUGGUUAGUACCUGAUUGGGCAGCUUACAAAGAAAAAUUCAUUAGUUGAAUUAGGAAUGCCAGAAUUAGAUGUAAUAUAUCUUGUUAGAAAGCUAUGAAUAAAUACACAAAGUUCAUGGGAAAGGUGAGUCUAAUUCUAUCCAUAAGAAACUCAGAAAUAUGACAUAAUCUCAAGCAAAAACAAACCUAAAUCUAAAUAUUGACCUAAAAGGGAUUGACAUACUAGCUUUGCAGCUAAAUUACGCACGUGCUAACUUGACGUGCCUGCUUUAUGCACUUGCUAACUUAAUAAACUAUAACUUAAUAAACUAAAACUUUACAUACAUUUUCUUAAUGAAAUAGUUAUAUGUUCAUGAUUGAAUAUUAUGUUCAUGACUAAAUAUGGUCUACCACACAUAUGUAUGCUUUUAAGGACUCGUUUUAUCAACAUGCUUGCUUAUGAAUGUAUAAUUUGACAUGCUUUCUUGUUUCAAUAUGUUAAGCAACUACAUGGAUAAUUUUAGUACAACUAAAUAACAAGUAAAUAUACAUUCUUGGCCCUAUUAAACCUCGGUGAGAGUUAUAAACAGAAUAAGGAUAUGGCAUGCCAUAUAUAGUUUAGCAGUAUUGUGGUCUAAUGAGGUACAUGAUAUGAUAUUUUCAACACACCAUGUGUCAUAUGGUUUCUUGGCUUUUGAGCCAUACAGGCACAACAUUCAGCCCCCAGGCUAUACAGUUUGGCACUUUAUACUCUACAGACACAGUUUUUCCUUAUAUAACUAUUUGAUCCUGCUAAGAGUUUAUAGGGGUCAAGAUUUAAUUAUAUGACUUGUUAAUACCUUACAAGCAUGCAUACAAGAUGGUUAACAUAAUAUGAAUGGCCUUAUAUGUAUACAUUUGUAUGACCUAAUUUGCCCACUUUUCACCCACAAAAAAAAAAAAAAUUCCACUCGUUUUUAUAACAUGAUUGUGUUAUAGCUGUCAUGUGUAUUCUUAUUUAUAUUUGAAUAAAUAUAUUAUUAUUCACCCAUUGGGCGUAAACUCAGCGCAUUGGACUUUUCCGUGCGUAGGUAAUAGAUAAAGAAAGCAACAAUCAAGAGAUCUGAUUCUGCAUCAGUACGGAAACAUCAUUAUAAUUAGUUAUUCACAAGUUUUAUACAGAGGUUGUUUAUGUUUGGCAUGUACAUAAGUAGUCCACCAGGAUUCUAUAAAUGAGUGUUGAAAAUAGUAAAAAUAUAAAUAAAUGUGUUUACUACUUUAAGUUAAAAUAUUUUAUUUAUGGGUUUAAUAAUGUGAAUUGAGUAAAUAUUGAGAAUUUAUGAUUGUUUCCCAUAGGGAUAAUUGCUAAUAAAUAGAGGAGACUCUUAUAAUUUCUCCAUUUAAAAUUAUUUUUGUGAAUUAACAUAUAUUUAAACAAAUUAAAUAAGAAUUGAUAAUGUAAAAGCUAAUUUAAGUUCACAUAUAUAAUUGCAUAUAUUAUAGUAUGUGACAUUCUUUACUCAACUAUUUUAUAGAUGGGUAAGGGGUGUUAUAAAAACUGUUUUGGACUGAGAUACCCAAAAUAGGACCCAAGCUCGAACGGACAGAUAGUAGAAAUUUAUAUUUGGCAACUGUAAAAUUCUUGAUCAGAUCAAGGAUUAGGAUGACAACAAUAGAAAAAGCAAAGAUUCAAAGUAUUCUCUUAAAUUUGAAUUUUUCUCUGUCUUUUAGUUUGGAAAAAACCCUGUUUAAAAGGCUGUUUUUUAGGAGUGGAAAAUAAUCUUGAGUUAAACAUAAUUCUCCCCUUCUUAAUAUUUCUCUAUGUUUGUAAUGGCUCUUAAUAGCUAAAUUUUCUUAUUUAGUUGAAGGUUAAUCUAAUUGAAGUUUUCAUCAAGUUGUAAAAUCUAAUCCCAUUUUAUUUUCAUAUUAAUUUUUCUAUUUUCAUUCUUUUUCUGUUUGUAAGUGUAAUACCCGGCUAGACUCUGGUAUCAGAAUUCCUACCGUCCGGUGGAAUCUCGGAUGUCGGAAGCCUCUAGUAGGGUAGAAACAUGUUUUCAUAAAAUGUUUUUGUAACGACCCGAAAAUCGGACCGCUACCGGCGCUAGGAUCCAGAUCGGCUUAAGGCCACCGGGACCCGUAGCAAGCCUGACAUGUAACCUGUAAACCUGUUUAAUCCCAUACAUGAUCAACAAUCAUACAUAAAAAUUUAAACUUUUCCUUUAUCAUCCAACUCAACCUGAACAUACAUGUACAUAGUCAUGAUCAUAAUCAUGAUCCCUCUGUGGGAUCUCCUCAAUGCCCCAACGGGCGAUACAACAUGAGAUGAGUUGGCUUAAACAUAAACAUCAAUAGACAUCAAGAUCAUGUAUCAACAAGGGAUUACAAUACUCAUAGGGUCAAGCACAUCUAUAACCUCAAUAUACCUCAUUACAUCAUAAUACAAUUGUCAUAUCCACAAUCUAACUAUUACAUCAACAUACUUCAAAAACUCUGGCUAACCUUCUGGUCUACCCUGUACCUGCACAUCUGGGGUUAGGGGAGAGGGGUGAGCUAACAAGCCCAGUGAGCAGAAUAGUGAAAACAAUAUAUUAAAAUUUCAUGCUUUCAUGGAAUGCAACACAUCACAACGAAUCACAUCUCGGAUGGUAUUGUCACCAAUAGUCCUUUACAUAGUCCAACUGUGCCGGGACGUAGAAUGGGUACAACCGGUCUUUCCCUUAACAUAACAUAUCAUACAGUCCAGCUGUGCCAGGGACGUAGAAUGGGUACAACCUGGACUUUCUCUUACAUCGUGCCAGGGACGUAGAAUGGGUACAACCUGGACUUCCAUACCGUAUCAUGCCGUAGCAUCAUCAUGCCAUAUGAGGACUAAAGGGUCAUCCAAUAACCAAUCCACAUCAACAUCAUAAAUGCAAUGCAACAUAUUCGUGAAUACUAAUGCAAACAACCUACUAUAUCUCAUGGCAUUCAUGAUGCAUGGAUCAUGCUCAAAAUUCAUAUUUCAUUUAAUUUAAAACUUAAGGUUUAUUCCACUCACCUCUGGCUAGCUCUGACAAACUCUGUAGCAGCUGGCUCACUGCUGGGGUCCUCGGUUCCUCGGGUCCGAACCUACACGGGAGGACUCCAAUGAGGGACCAAACAUACAUAACAUAACUCUAAUAUACUCCCCAAAAACCCCCUAAAAUAUCAAGAAACAAUCAUAGAAAAACAUGCAAGAAAUGGCUGAUCAGGGCACUUUCGGCGGCAGCUUCGGCGGCCGAAAGUCCCUCCAGAGCCGAAAGUCAGGCAGGUUCGGCGGCACCUUCGGCGGCCGAAACUCCCAGACAGAGGCGAAACUCAUGCAUGUUCGGCGGCACCUUCGGCGGCCGAAAGUCCCAGACAGAGACGAAAGUCUCUUUUCGGGGGCAACUUCGGCAGCCGAAUGCUGCCUCCACAAGGGGGUUCGGCGGCCGAAAGUUCCUUCGGUUGCCGAACCUGGUUUCUUCCCGAAGGGCAGAAACUUGGCUCCCAUGAGCCUCUUGCCUCCCAAAACCUCAAAUCAUGCAUAAACUUGUUCUAAACAUGCAUACACAUCAUACAUUACAUCUAGGGGUCUCAAACUAGCAAAUACCCCAACUACAACACUUCAAACACACAAAAAUCAACAUACAUUGUUCAUCAAAACAUCAAAACCCACAAACUCAUCAACAAGCCUAAACAUGCAUCUCUACCCAUAAAACAACUUAAUGCUUGUUUAAAACACAUAACAAGGGUGGAUUCGAGCUUACCUCUUGAAGAAACGAGAGGAAAGACGAUCCUAGCUUGGAGAUGGAGAGAUUGAGCUCUUUGAACCUCCAAGUACCCAAAACUUGCUCUUUACUCACAGAUCUUCAAAACAGAAGUCAAAACCCGUGAAAAUCAUGGAAGAUCUAAGGAAAACACUCAAGAUCGAGGGAGGGGUGACGGAGACUAACCUUGGCCGACAACGGGGGAGGAAAAGCUCGCCCGUGCGGACCUAAGGGACCCUUUUAUAGGUGGCUGGCCAGGCCACGUUCGGGGGCCAAAAGUGCCUCCGCAUGCAUGCCAUCUUCGGCGGCCGAACUUGGGUUUCGGCGGCCGAACCUGAACUUCCCUCACUCAUGCUUUCGGGGGCCUAACGUGCCUCCAAAACGCAUGCAUGUUCGGCGGCCGAACUUGACUUUCGGCGGCCGAACCUGGGUUUUCCUCCAAAGACUUUUCAUGUAAAACUCAUUAAAUUUUCAUAUUUAAAACCAUGAAAUACCUUAAAACAUUUUAUGAAAACAUGUUUCUACCCUACUAGAGGCUUCCAACAUCCGAGUUUCCACCGGACGGUAGGAAUUCCGAUACCGGAGUCUAGCCGGGUAUUACAGUUUUAAUGUAUUUCAUGGUUUUAAGUAAAAAGGAAAUGAGUUUUUGCAUGAAAACAACCUUGGAGAAAAACUCAGGUUCGGCCGCCGAACCUCAAGUUCGGCCGCCGAACAUGCAUGCGCUUCGGGUGUGCCUUAGGCCCCCGAAAGCAUAAGUGAGGGAAGUCCAGGUUCGGCCGCCGAACCUCAUGUUCGGCCGCCGAACAUGGCAUGCAUGCAGAGGCACUUUCGGCUCCCGAACGUGGCUUGGCCAGCCACCUAUAAAGGGGUCCCUUAGCCGAAAACGGGCGAGUUUUCUCCCCAUUUUCGGCCAAGGUGAGCUCUCCGCCAUCCCUCGCCGGUUUUGAGUUCUUUCCUUCAAAUCUUUCUCGAUUUUCAUUAGUUUUACCCUUAUUUUGAAGAUUUUGAGCAUUUGAGCAAGUUUUGGAGCUUGGAGGUUCAAGGAACUUUCUCUCUCCCAUUUUCUGAGCUAGGGUCGUUCUCCUCUCGAUCUUCAAGAGGUAAGGGCCGAUCUUGAGCUUAUAGCAUGUUUUAAGUAAGUUUUAAGUAGAUCUAUGGGGUAGAAUGCAUGUUUAGCUUAUGGUUAGGUUUAUGGGUUUUAUAUGUGUUUAUGAAUAAUGUGAGUUGUUUGAUGUGUUGUAGUUGGGGUUUUUGAUGGUUUGAAGCCCCUAGGAGCUUGUAUGCUUGUUUGUGUUUGUUUGGGAAUAUUGUAGAAUAGCUAUAUGCAUGUUUGAAAAGUUUGAGAGGAAAAUGUGCAUGAGGAACCAAGUUUCUGCCCUUUGGCAGAAACCAGGUUCGGCAGCCGAAGGACUUUCGGCCGCCGAACCUGCCUGGGAGGCAAGCCUUUCGGCUGCCGAAGCCUGCCCCCGAAAGAGGACUUUCGCCUCUGUCUGAGAGUUUCGACCGCCGAAAGUGCCGCCGAACAUGCAUGAGUUUCGUCUCUGUCUGGGAAUUUCGGCCGCCGAAGGUGCCGCCGAACCUGCCUGACUUUUGGCUCUGGAAGGACUUUCGGCCGCCGAACCUGCCGCCGAAACUGCCCUGUCCAGCCUUUCUUUGCAUGUUUUUCUAUGAUUGUUUCAUGAUGUUUUAGGGGGUUUUUGGGGGUAGUUUAGAGUUAUGUUCAUGUAUGUUUGGUCCCUCCUUUGAGUCCACCUGUGUAGGUUCAGACCCGAGGAACCGAGGACCCCAGCAGUGAGUCAGCUGCUCUAGUGUCUGGUCAGAGCUAUCCAGAGGUAAGUGGAAUAACUCAUUAUGUUUUAAAGCAAAUAAUGGACAUUUUAGCAUGAUUCACGCAUCAUGAAUGCCAUGAGAUGUACUAGGUUAUUUGCAUUAGAAUUCACGAAUAUGUUGCAUUGCAUACUUUAUUGUUGAUUGAUGUGGAUGAACGUUGGAUGAUCCAUAGCCCUCGAUCUAUGAUGUGACGAUGUGAUAUGUACGGUACGGAAUGUAAGACCAGUGGGACCCAUUCUACGUUCGCUGGCACUAUGUAAGAGGAAGACCAGGACCCAUUCUACGUUCUGGCACAGUUGGACUGUUAUGUUAUGCUAUGUUAUGUAAGAGAAAGACCAGGACCCAUUCUACAUUCUGGCACAGUUGGACUAUGUAGAGGGUUAUUGGUGACAAGUUCAUCCUUGAUGUGAUUAGCUGUGAUGUGAUGCAUUCCAUGUUAUCAUAUGUUUUAAAUGUUUUAUUAUUCUGCUCACUGGGCUCUAGUAGCUCACCCCUCUCCCUAAUCCCCCAGGUUUGCAGGUACAGGGUAGACCAGGAGGUCAGCAAGAGUAUUGAAGUCUUAUUUAUGUAAUAGAUAGUGUGGACAUGAUAAAUGUAUUUGAUGUUAUGUAAAAGUACAGUUUAGACAUGUAAUGUAAUGAGGCUUAUGGAUGAUAGAGGUGUGCUUGACCAUAGAAUGUUGUUAUCCCUUUAAUACAUGUUCUUAGAUGUUUUAUGAUGUUUAUGUAAACCAACUCAACAUAUAUUGUUUUGCCCAUUGGGACAUUGAUGAGAUCCCACAGAAGGGUCAUAAUUAUGAUUAUGAUUAUGUACAGUGCAUGCACAGGUUGAGUUUGAUGUAUGAAUGAAAGAAAAGUUUUAAUUUUUAUGUAUGUUGUUGAUCAUGUAUGGGAUUAAACAGGUUUACAGGUUGCAUGUCAGGCUUGCUACGGGUCCCGGCGGCCUUAUGCCGACCUGGAUCCUAACGCCGGUAGCGGUCCGAUUUUCGGGUCGUUACAGAAUGGUAUCAGGGCCCUAGGUUCAUAGGAUCGGACCUAGAGUGUCGGGCUCAUAGAUGUUUUAGAAGGUCAAGCACAAUAGGAAAGAUCAUGUCCACUAGGAUAGGAUGUUGAGUCCUGUCUUGUCUGAUGAUGUGAAAUGCCAUGAUUAUAUACAUGUGCAUUGAUGCUAUGAUAUGAAUGAUAUAUAUGUGAUGUGGGUUCAUGUGUUUCCACAUGAACCAUAUGAUGCUAAUGUUGUGUGAUGUGUACUGUUUUUCAAAAAACAGGAUGAGAGGAACCCGUCGAUCUGCAAGAUUGACUGGAGUACCACCUGAGGAUGAGGGCAUGAGCGCCCGUCCUCCUACAUUGCCUAGGGCAAUGUCAUGUAGAUCAAACAGAGAAAGAGUGUCAAGGGACCCUAGAAGGUCUUUUGAUGCUAGCAGAAGGGGGACAGAUAGAGGAGGAAGUUCUUCAGAUGUGAGGGAGGUUAUGGAAGAGGAUUAGAGGAGGGAUGGGAAUCUGGAUGUCAGCAUGGCGGAAGAAGGGACAAGGGAGUCACAGGGAGGCGCUCAGGCCUCGGGGUAUGGUUUUCCACCAUUAUCCACCCUUCCCGCAGGGUUCAGGGUAUCCGAUGGGAGGCACAUCGGAUUAUUCCAGCUUUAACCCCUACCCUACCUACAUGCCUUAUCCACCUUUCUAUCCACCUUACACACAGUACCCAGCUUAUCCACCCUCACCUUUCUAUCCUAACCUGGCAAACCCCACCUCGGGGAAUGCUGCACCCCCACCUCCACCACCUACAGAACCAGCAGCCCCAGUUACUCAACCUCCUAGACCUAGCUCAGCCGGUGGGAGCAAAGUGAAGAUGACAUAUUACCUUAAGCUAGAUGAUCCCAAAUACAAGUCAGGGGAUGAUCCCUUUGAGUACCUGAAAGUAGUGAAGACGAUAACUGAUGAGCUAGGGGCAGAUGACAGCAGGGCCAUUCAGAUGGCAGGGUUCACCUUAAAGUACAAGAAGGCACGGGAAUGGUUCAAGUGUUAUGUGGACCCGAGACUAGACGGUAUGACAUGGGAGGAAUUUGCAAAUGAGUUCGCUGGAUGGGCUUUUCCAGACAGUUCCAGAGAACUGAAGAUGAUUGAGUUUGAGCAGCUGAGGCAGGCAGAACACAUGAGUGUAGAGGAGUUCACGGAUAAAUUCUUGGAGCUAUUGCCUUUUUCAGGGCAAGCUCUAGAUACAGAUUCGAAGAAAGCCAAGAGAUAUGUUAUGAAACUGCAUUCUAGGUACUCCUCUUUGAUUCAGUCAGUUGAGAGGGAAAGUUUCCACACUGUGGUGGAUAUGGCUCGAAGGAUGGAGGCGAGUGCUAUAGUUGAGGGGUCAAUGAAGCAGUCAGCGACCCAGUCUUCAGGGGUUAAGACCCCAGGCAGAGGAGGGCCAGGUCUCUCUUCUCAGAGCUCAGGUAGCAAAAGGUGGAAUAACACCACCAAGAAGCUGAAGAAGAACAAGUUUUGGAGUAAGCUGAAAUCCGAUCUGGGAUUUAGCAGUGGCUCGAGCUCAGGUUCAGACGGUACAGAAUGCCAAAGGUGUGGGAGGCCACACAAGGGAGUGUGUCGAGCUGGGACUAAUACAUGUUUCAGAUGUGGACAGGAGGGACACAUGGCUCGGGAGUGUCCUAGAGCACCUUUUAUCGGCCAGCCCCAGCAGACAGCUUCUGGUAGUGUGGCACAGCCAGCAGCUCCAGCCACAACUCAGAGCAGUGGCAGAGGUAGAGGAAAAGGGGCAGCCUCUUCUUCUGGUUCCCGAGGUGAAGGUCCAUCAGCUCCAGCCAGGAUCUUCACCAUGACUCAGCAGGAAGCUAACACAUCCAACACCGUGGUGUCAGGUAAUCUCGUCAUUGGGUGUUCUGAUGUGUAUGCAUUAAUGGACCCGGGUGCAUCUCAUUCUUUUAUUGCUCCGAGAGCCGUUGAGAGGUUGGGUCUGAUAGUCUCUGGGUUGGAGUGUCCCCUAUGGGUCAGUGGACCCAAGUGUGACCCGUCAGUGGCAGAGUCAGUCUGCCAGUACAGUCCAGUUUUUGUUGAGGGAAGAUGCCUCUCCGCCGACCUUGUGGUUUUAGAUUUGACAGACUUUGACGUCAUUCUAGGGAUGGAUUGGCUAUCUACCCAUGGUGCUACCUUGGACUGCAGAGACAAGGUAGUCAGGUUCAGAGAUCAGAACGGGUUAGAGGUCGUCUUCAGAGGAGACAAGAGGGGUACACCUAGAGGUCUGAUAUCAGCUCUUCAGGCUCGUAGGUUGCUUAGGAAGGGAUGUCAGGGGUAUUUGGCUCAUGUGAGAGAGCUAGAUAAUCAGGUCAGGGAGCCAGCCUCGGUGCCAGUUGUCAGAGAAUUUCAGGAUGUUUUUCCAGACGAGCUUCCAGGUUUACCACCUGCUAGGGAGAUAGAGUUCGAGAUAGAUUUGAUGCCUGGAACUAGACCGAUCUCUAUCCCUCCCUACAGGAUGGCCCCAGCCGAGUUGAAGGAGUUGAAAGAGCAGUUACAAGAACUGGUAGAAAAGGGCUUCAUCCGACCGAGUACCUCACCUUGGGGUGCUCCAGUCUUAUUUGUGAGAAAGAAGGAUGGAUCUCUCAGACUUUGUAUCGACUACAAGCAGUUGAACAAAGUCACUACCAAGAACAGGUACCCUCUGCCAAGGAUCGAUGAUCUAUUCGACCAGCUAGCAGGAGCGGGUUGUUUCUCCAAAAUAGAUCUGAGAUCGGGGUACCAUCAGCUAAGGAUAAGGGAUGAAGAUGUGCCAAAGACAGCUUUCAGGACCAGAUAUGGGCAUUUUGAGUUCCUUGUGAUGCCGUUCGGGUUAACCAACGCCCCUGCAGCAUUCAUGGAUCUCAUGAACAGAGUGUUUAGCCAAUACCUAGAUCACUUUGUUAUUGUCUUCAUAGAUGAUUCUUAGUGUAUUCCAGGAAUGCAGAGGAGCAUGCCCAUCAUCUGAGGUUGGUUCUGCAGACCUUGAGGGAACAUGGCUUGUAUGCCAAGUUCUCUAAGUGUGAGUUCUGGCUGAGGAGCAUUUCAUUCUUGGGGCAUGUAGUGUCAGAAAAUGGAAUAGAUAUGGACCCCAAGAAGAUAGAAGCUGUGGCUAACUAGCCUAGACCCACUUCAGUGACAGAGAUUAGAAGUUUCUUGGGUUUGGCAGGUUACUACAGGAGGUUCGUUCAGGACUUCUCAAAGAUUGCAGCUCCUCUGACCAGACUAACCAGGAAGAAUAAGAAGUUUGUGUGGACCGACCAGUGCGAAGUGAGUUUUGAAGAGCUUAAAAAGAGAUUAACAUCGGCACCAGUGUUAGCUUUGCCAGCUAAUAGUGAGGACUUCACGGUCUUCUGUGAUGCAUCUCGAGUGGGUUUGGGUUGUGUGUUAAUGCAGAAUGAAAGGGUGAUUGCUUAUGCUUCUAGACAGCUGAAGAAGCAUGAGUUGAAUUACCCCACACAUGACCUAGAGAUGGCAGUAGUAAUCUUUGCGCUCAAGAUGUGGAGGCACUACCUCUAUGGGGUUAAAUGUGAGAUCUUUACAGAUCAUAAGAGCCUGCAGUACAUCUUGAGUCAAAGAGAUUUGAACUUGAGACAGAGAAGAUGGGUGGAGCUGCUGAGUGACUAUGAUUGCAAGAUUCAGUACCAUCCGGGUAAGGCGAAUGUUGUGGCAGACGCCUUAAGCCGAAAAUCACUCGGCAGUUUAUCCCACAUAUCGGCAGAGAGGAGGCCAGUGGUGAAGGAGUUUUACAAGCUCAUUGAGGGAGGUCUACAAUUGGAGUUGUCUGGUACAGGUGCUUUGGUAGCCCAGAUGAGAGUGGCACCCGUGUUUCUGGAGCAGGUGGCUCAGAAACAGCAUGAGGACCCAGAGUUAGUGAAGAUUGCCAGGACUGUCCAAUCAGGCAAAGAUAGUGAGUUCAGAUUCGACAGCAAAGGGAUCCUCCGCUAUGGGAGCAGACUAUGUGUACCAGAUGACAUAGGGCUAAAAGGAGACAUUAUGAGAGAGGCUCAUAAUGCAAGAUACAACGUUCACCCCAGAGCCACCAAGAUGUAUCAAGAUCUGAAGAAGGUUUAUUGGUGGCCAGCUAUGAAGAAAGAAGUGGCACAGUUUGUGUCAGCCUGCGAAGUGUGUCAGAGGGUGAAGCUGGAACAUCAGAAGCCGGCUGGAAUGCUUAACCCGCUACCUAUUCCAGAGUGGAAAUGGGAAAAUAUAGCUAUGGACUUCGUAGUGGGGCUACCGGCGGCGUCCAACAGAUUGGACUCCAUAUGGGUGAUUGUGGACAGACUCACCAAAUCUGCUCACUUCAUCCCUGUCAGGAGUGGCUAUUCUGUGGACAAGUUGGUGCAGGUGUAUGUCGAUGAGAUCGUCAGGCUGCAUGGGGUUCCCGUUUCGAUAGUGUCUGAUAGAAGGCCCCAGUUCACCUCCAAAUUUUGGUGGAGUCUGCAGAACGCCAUGGGUACCAGGUUGGAUUUUAGCACUGCUUUCCAUCCACAGACGGACGGACAAUCAGAAAGGACCAUCUAGACCAUAGAGGAUAUGCUCAGGAUGUGUGUGCUGGACUUUGGCGGUUCUUGGAGGCAACAUCUACCUUUGGUGGAGUUUGCCUACAAUAACAGCCAUCAUGAUAGCAUCGAGAUGGCUCCAUAUGAAGCUUUGUAUGGGAGGAAGUGCAGAUCACCUGUUUGCUGGGAAGAAGUUGGAGAAAAGGUCUUGGCAGGGCCUGAGCUAGUAGAGAUUACCAGCAGAGUAGUACCCAUAAUUAGAGAAAGGAUCAAGACUGCUGCAAGCAGACAGAAGAGUUAUGCAGACAUCCGCAGAAGACAGGUAGAGUUUCAGGAAGGGGAUCUGGUAUUGCUCAAGGUGUCUCCUAUGAAAGGAGUGGUUCGCUUUGGAAAGAAAGGUAAACUAGCCCCACGAUACAUCGGACCCUUUGAAAUCUUGCAAAAGAUUGGGAAUGUGUCGUACAAGCUAGAUUUACCUACUUCUAUGGAGAGAAUCCAUCCGGUUUUCCAUGUUUCCAUGUUGAGGAAGUUUGUGUCAGAUCCGGGCAAGGUUCUUAGUGAGCCUAAUGUGGAGAUCCAAGAGGAUCUCACUUAUGUUGAGCAGCCAGUACGGAUCAUAGACACCCAGAUCAGAAAGCUGAGAAACAAGGAAAUCCCAAUGGUGAAAGUCCUGUGGAACCACCACAAUUUGGAAGAAUGCACUUGGGAGACACGGGAGUCCAUGCUCCAGCAAUACCCUUAUCUUUUCUAAGGUUAGUUCUCCGUGAGUCCAUGUGCUUAUAUGUAUGUUUUGUUUAUGCCAUGCUGUGUGUUAGUUGGUGAACAUUCGGGGACAAAUGUUCUUAAGGAGGGGAGAAUGUAAUACCCGGCUAGACUCCGGUAUCGGAAUUCCUACCGUCCGGUGGAAUCUCGGAUGUCGAAAGCCUCUAGUAGGGUAGAAACAUGUUUUCAUAAAAUGUUUUAAUGUAUUUCAUGGUUUUAAGUAAAAAGGAAAUGAGUUUUUGCAUGAAAACAACCUUGGAGGAAAACUCAGGUUCGGCCGCCGAACCUCAAGUUCGGCCGCCGAACAUGCAUGCGCUUCGGGUGUGCCUUAGGCCCCCGAAAGUAUAAGUGAGGGAAGUCCAGGUUCGGCCGCCGAACCUCAUGUUCGGUCGCCGAACAUGGCAUGCAUGCGGAGGCACUUUCGGCUACCGAACGUGGCCUGGCCAGCCACCUAUAAAGGGGUCCCUUAGCCGAAAACGGGCGAGUUUUCUCCCUAUUUUCGGCCAAGGUGAGCUCUCCGCCAUCCCUCGCGGGUUUUGAGUUCUUUCCUUCAAAUCUUUCUCGAUUUUCAUUAGUUUUACCCUUAUUUUGAAUAUUUUGAGCAUUUGAGCAAGUUUUGGAGCUUGGAGGUUCAAGGAACUCUCUCUCUCCCAUUUUCCGAGCUAGGGUCGUUCUCCUCUCGAUCUUCAAGAGGUAAGGGCCGAUCUUGAGCUUAUGGCAUGUUUUAAGUAAGUUUUAAGUAGAUCUAUGGGGUAGAAUGCAUGUUUAGCUCAUGGUUAAGUUUAUGGGUUUUAUAUGUGUUUAUGAAUAAUGUGAGUUGUUUGAUGUGUUGUAGUUGGGGUUUUUGAUGGUUUGAAGCCCCUAGGAGCUUGUAUGCUUGUUUGUGUUUGUUUGGGAAUAUUGUAGAAUAGGUAUAUGCAUGUUUGAAAAGUUUGAGAGGAAAAUGUGCAUGAGGAACCAAGUUUCUGCCCUUUGGCAGAAACCAGGUUCGGCAGCCGAAGGACUUUCGGCCGCCGAACCUGCCUGGGAGGCACGCCUUUCGGCUGCCGAAGCCUGCCCCCGAAAGAGGACUUUCGCCUCUGUCUGGGAAUUUCGGCCGCCGAAAGUGCCGCCGAACAUGCAUGAGUUUCGUCUCUGUCUGGGAGUUUCGACCGCCGAAGGUGCUGCCGAACCUGCCUGACGUUCGGCUCUGGAAGGACUUUCGGCCGCCGAACCUGCCGCCGAAAGUGCCCUGUCCAGCCUUUCUUUGCAUAUUUUUCUAUAAUUGUUUCAUGAUGUUUUAGGGGGUUUUUGGGGAGUAGUUUAGAGUUAUGUUCAUGUAUGUUUGGUCCCUCAUUUGAAUCCACCUGUGUAGGUUCGGACCCGAGGAACCGAGGACCCCAGUAAUGAGUCAGCUGCUCCAGUGUCUGGUCAGAGCUAUCCAGAGGUGAGUCGAAUAACUCAUUACGUUUUAAAGCAAAUAAUGGACAUUUUAGCAUGAUUCACGCAUCAUGAAUGCCAUGAGAUGUACUAGGUUAUUUGCAUUAGAAUUCACGAAUAUGUUGCAUUGCAUACUUUAUUGUUGAUUGAUGUGGAUGAACGUUGGAUGAUCCAUAGCCCUCGAUCUAUGAUGUGACGAUGUGAUAUGUACGGUACGGAAUGUAAGACCAGUGGGACCCAUUCUACGUUCGCUGGCACUAUGUAAGAGGAAGACCAGGACCCAUUCUACGUUCUGGCACAGUUGGACUGUUAUGUUAUGCUAUGUUAUGUAAGAGAAAGACAAUGACCCAUUCUACGUUCUGGCACAGUUGGACUAUGUAGAGGGCUAUUGGUGACAAGUUCAUCCUUGAUGUGAUUAGCUGUGAUGUGAUGCAUUCCAUGUUAUCAUAUGUUUUAAAUGUUUUAUUAUUCUGCUCACUGGGCUCUAGUAGCUCACCCCUCUCCCUAAUCCCCCAGGUUUGCAGGUACAGGGUAGACCAGGAGGUCAGCUAGAGUAUUGAAGUCUUGUUUAUGUAAUAGAUAGUGUGGACAUGAUAAAUGUAUUUGAUGUUAUGUAAAAGUACAGUUUAGACAUGUAAUGCAAUGAGGCUUAUGGAUGAUAGAGGUGUGCUUGACCAUAGAAUGUUACUAUCCCAUUAAUACAUGAUCUUAGAUGUUUUAUGAUGUUUAUGUAAACCAACUCAACAUAUGUUGUUUUGCCCAUUGGGGCAUUGAUGAGAUCCCACAGAGGGGUCAUAAUUAUGAUUAUGAUUAUGUACAGUGCAUGCACAGGUUGAGUUUGAUGUAUGAAUGAAAGAAAAGUUUUAAUUUUUAUGUAUGUUGUUGAUCAUAUAUGGGAUUAAACAUGUUUACAGGUUGCAUGUCAGGCUUGCUACGGGUCCCGGCGACCUUAAGCCGACCUGGAUCCUAGCGCCGGUAACGGUCCGAUUUUCGGGUCGUUACAGUAAGUAACACCACCUCCAUUGUUGUCUUUCUAGAUAUUUAAGAAGUCUAUUGAAUAUUCUAUUUAAACAACAUAUUGCUAAUUAAUUCAAUUAAAUAUGUAAUUAUUUAAUUAGAUUAAUACAAGUAGCAAUUAAUAUAGUGAUUUAUAUUAAGGAAUUGAAUGAUUUGAUUUAAAUAAUUUACUUGUAAUUAUUAAUCAAGUUUGGAUUCUUAUCCUCUUAAUGUAACUAAUUGAUUAAAUCUACAUGCUGGUUGAGGUUAUCAAUUAAUUAGGGGUUAGUUUAACACUUUGCAAAUUAAUCUAAUAAUAAGGAAAAAUUGGUGGGAUUCACUUGUUUGAACACUUUAAUCAAACAAUGAAAAAUUAAGUGAAUUAUCUUUAAUAUCAAUGAUGAACUAAUGAAACCUUUUAACUUGAAUUAUCAUCAGCUGAAUUCUUAUUAUUAAUUAUUUAUUUCAUUUAAUAAUUAUUUUUUAGCUUUCUUUAAACAAAAUUUUCAAUUGCAAUUUUCUUUUAUUUUCUUUUUCAUCUCAAUUUAAUUUUUCUUCUCUUUUCUUACUUGACAUUUAAAAGUAAGUCUCUAAGGGAUCGACACUUAUUCAUCCUAUCUACACAAUUGUUGAAAUUAAAAUAAAAAUAUGCAUUGAAGGAUUUGGUUACUAGUUACAAGUCGGACAUUUUAUUUUUGAUGGAAACAAAAGUUUUAGCUCUCCGGUACUAUUUGCUCUUUGCGACGAAAUUUUUGCCUUUUAAUGGUUGCAUUUUUAUGGACUGUUUGCAAGUGGUUCAAUCUCUUCAGUCUCCACAUUUAGAUAUUUCUGAACUGGGUUUGAUUUUGAAUGAUUGUAAAUUUUUGUUAGACCCUAGAACUGAUAUUUCUGUUAGAUGGGUUCGUCGUUAUGCCACUCUAGCUGCUCAUACUUUGGCUAGAGAAUCUAUUAGACAUGAUCGUCUCUCUAUUUGGGAUGAUAUCUCUCUUUGUUUGAUGGAAUUUUAUUAAUACAAUCAGUAGUUUUGCUUUAAAAAAAAAUUAGCGAAUUUGACGCUUGUUAAAUUUUGGUGCCGUUACUGGAGACCUGUACUAAUUUAUUUUUAUUUUAUGAUCAAGUCUGAAAAUAGUAUAAUUCAAUUUAGUCUGGAGAUAGAGAAGACCGCAAAAUGCUUAAAACAAGCAACUACAUUGAAAAAACAAGUAGUUUCAAGUGCCUCCCAAUCAACUAGUCGAGAUUCUGCAAAUGAGAAUACAGAAAAUUCUGAAUCUACAAGGAUGGCUGAACACUCAGGAAAUCCUAGUAGAAUUAAUCGAGAGGAAAGAAUGGCUGAAAAAGAGCGACCGUUCUGUAUCGCCUACCCGGCAUUGAAUGCACCCCUAGAAUUGGGAACUGACAUGAUCCACAUGCUACAGAAGUUUCGUGGGUUGGAAAAUAAAGAUCUACAUCGCCAUUUAAAGGAGUUUUAUGUCAUUUAUUCAAGUAUGAGGCCACAAGGAUAACUGAUGAAUAAAACCGAUUAGUAGAUUUCCCUUUUACUUUGGUUGAGUUCGCUAAAGAUUGGAUUUAUUAUUUGCCUCUAGGAUCAAUUAUCAUGUGGCUGAAAAUCACACCAAAACAACUCAACCUUAUUAUUUGCCUCCAUAAUCAAUUGAUGUUGCUAAUGGAGGAGUUAUCUCAGAAAUGGAACCCAAGGAUGACAAAAAUCUGAUCUAAAAAAUGGCUGAAAACUCUAAGUAGUAUGGCAUGAAAGAAGAUGUUCCUAGGAGUGCAAGUGAGGUAAGUGAUGCUACAUAACAAUCGCCCAAAGUAAGCUAUAAGUUGUUACCAUAAGACAGAGCCACAUGGCAAAGAUAUGGUAAAGUGGAAAAUACUUUUCAAUCCAAGGGAAGGAAGAUCCGAACACCUUAACACCCAUUUCAUCAUCAAAGACUCGCCCUUCCCUCGAUAGGGCGAGCUUCGGCAUGAAGUUACCUUUAGUAGGCACAGUCCAGUGCAUCCCUAUUAGGCUUGUAAUCGCAGGAUUGCUAGCCUUUUGGCCGGUAAUAUCUCUUAUCAAGCAGUCAGUCACAUCAACACAGGAUAAUUGAAAAAUGCUAUGUUUGUCCCCACCUUUUUACAGUCUAAAAGAAGAAGAAUCAUAGAGGUAAAAGUAUGCUAUUCUCGCACACUAAUGAGACAGAAUGAUGAAAAUGAGGCCAAGAAAGCCACAAAAUGUAAGAGCUUCAAUGGGUCCAAGCUUUGGUUGAGCUGACUUGUCCCAUUGUGAUCCAAGCAUUGGUUAAUAUCCAUGCAAAAUCAUAAGACAAGUUACCAACCAUGCAGUGAAGGCGGUCCAGAAUCUUCUGUAUGGCAAGUCACUUGACAAGAGAGAUAAGUGCCACUUCCACUGUCUCUAGUGUUGCUGCUGUCUGAGUUGUCAAUGCUAUGCGUUCUACUAGUGAGAUCUAAUGAAACCCUUUGCCAGCAUUCCUCUCAUGGGUCACCGUGUCUAAGUCCCCAUCAUAUGUUUGCCAAGAAAUGGUGAAUUAUUAGUUAGGGUUGAGGAUAAGUUCUGAUCAAGUGAAGCAUAUUCUUUGUUCUUAUUGAUAGAAAUUAACCAUUUUUUUAAAAAAUAUUUUUCUACUCGUACAAAUCCUUGGAAAAAGAAAUGAUCAUCAAGCACUAUUUUUAUCAGUUGAGUUACUUUCAUUACAAAAAUAUCAUCUACAAUAAAUAAACAAAUAAGCAUCCAUUAGCUUGAAAAACAACAAAAAUCAAUUAUAAUUAAUUUCAAACUGAAGUAAACUUUUAAAAUUACCUUCCUUUGUUGGUUUCUUUAACCUGAAAAUAUGGAAUGUAGUCUUGUCGUUAUUACCAGGAAUCACACUAUGGAAUACUUUUACAAAUUAAUAUUUAUUUUAAGAUAGUGUAAUAAUUUUCAAAUAAACAAGUCACAUAUAAAUUCAGAUUUUUCCUGUUGGGAUUCGAGUGAAUUUCUGUCAUGAUGACACUUCAUUUGUUGCUUUCAUACGGUUGAGGUAAUGAAGAAGAAUGCAGUAGCCUGUGAAGAUCUGACUCGUAGUUAAAACCUUCACUGGUUGUUGAUAUAGUUACUUUUGGAAGGCUGUUGAUUUGGGAUUGAUCAUUUCUGUAACUUUGAAAUACCAAGUACUCCUAAACUGUAUGACACGAGCUUAGUCUAACAUUACAGGAUUGAGACUUAGGGAUGGCUUGAUUUAUGGUACAGGAAAACUCACUAGCUAGUUUUUCGAUUUUUAAAAUAUGCAUUAAAAUGUCAAGAAUUUAGGGAUGGCUUGAUCUAUGGUACAGGAAAACUAACUAGUUAGUUUCUCCAUUUUUAAAAUAUGCAUUAAAAUCUUCUUGACGUUUUAAAAAAUAUAUUAAUUAGUCCCUCCAUUUAUUAUUUUACUAUUUAAUCUCUAUAGUUUUGAAAAAACUUAUUAGUUGAUCUCUCAAAUUUUUAAAAAAUUUACUAAUUAGUCUUUUCGUAUCAUGGGCAUUUUAGAUUUUUUUACAAUAUUUAACGGCUAAAACAAUCGAAAAGGCUAACUAGUAGACUUUUUAAAAACGUUUUAAUGCAUUUUUAAAAAUUAAGAGGCCAACUAGUGAGUUUCUCCAUAUUAUAGGGACUAAAUGAUAAUUUUUUUUAAAACAUAAUAUAUAUAUAUAUAUAUCAAAAUUGUUAAACAAAUUAAGGUAUAGAGACGUAAUUUAAUAAGGCAUAGAAUGUUUGAAUAAUGCAUUUAAUACAAGGCAUUAUAUCAUGUAAAAAAUAAGUAUGCAUGGUUGCAUAGAGACAGAAAAUACCCUCAAUUUAUGUGUAUUUAGAAAUUUAAAACAGAUCAUUUCCAAAAUGCAACAUCACAAAAUUCAGACUUACCUUUAUUCAAAACUAUAGAUAAUAUUUAUUUAUUUAUUCUUUUUUAUUUAUAGACUUUUUUUAUUUUAGACCAUUUAUAUAAUAAAUUUCUGAUUAUUCUUACUUAUUAUAAAAAUGAUAUAUAGAUGCGAAUCAAAUAUAAUAUUAUCAUUCAAGAUCCAACAUGAGUUGCUAGUUUUGUUGCUUUUUGCCGCGUAGCUUCAGAAUUGAGAGGACUUUCUGCAUCGACUUUGGCUUCUGGUAGACAAAAUAUAUUAUUGCAAAAAAAUUAUAAAAUCAUUCUAAAUUUAAAGAUCGGACACAUAUCAUAUUAUUUCUUUAGAAUGCCUCAGAUUUUAAAAAAUGUAUCACUCUUUCGCCAUUUCAAAAUCUAAUACUUGUGUAAAAUUUCUAUUGAAAAAAAACAGAGAGAAUAAAAAAAAAACUCAGAUUUAUAAAAUGACAAAGGAGUAGGGGUGAGCAUUCGGUCGGUUCGGUUUUGAACCGAACCGAACCCAAUAAACUGAAAAUCAAAAUUUUAGUGUUUAUAAAAAUCGAACCGAACUGAUUUUGGUCAGAAACAGAAUCGAAUCGAACCGGUCUGAUUUGGUUCGAUUCAGUUCGAUUUGAUCGGUUUCGAUUUUUAAUAAAUUUUUUAUUUUUUACACUUUAUUUUUAAUAUUUUAAAAUUUAAUUAAAAUAUUUUAACCUUAAUAUGAUUUAAUUUCUCAAUAUUAUUGAAAAAACAUAUUAUUAUCACUAAUCGGUUCGGUUUGAUUUUUUUGAUUUUUUUUUAUCAAAACCGAACCGAACCGAAAUGUAUAAAAAAUUGAAUCAAAUUUUCAAAUCGAUUCGAUUCGAUCGGUUUUUUCGGUUUGAACCGAAUACUGCUCAUUCAUACAAAGGAGAAAGUGAUUCAUGCAUUUUCUCAUCACUUAUUGUUCUUUUCAAUAAAAAAAAUAAGCAAUUAAGAAAGCGCCAUUAGAGUACAUAUGUUUCUUUUAUUAUUAUAUUAUUAUGUUUAUUUUUGGCUUAUAUAUGUUAAUUUGCCACUUUGCUUUAUUGCAGGAAAAAAAAUAUUUUUAAGAAGAUAAAUAAUUACAGUGAUUGCAAUAUUUGACAUGCUUUGUAUUGAAUAUAUUCUAGUGAUGGUAUAUAUAAAAUAAUAAUAAUAAUAAAGAAAUUGAUUUGCUAAAUUUAAGUAUAGAUGCUGAAUAGUUAUUUAGUAAUCCAACAUAUCUUCCUGCAUCUUUCAAUUAUAUAUAUUUUCCCCUUCGUAGCAUUUUUUUGUUUAUAUGAAAUGCUAACGUACUUAGAAGCCCUAAAAUAGAUGGUGCUGAUUUAGUGUAAAAAAUUAAAGGUAGAGAUAAAUGUAGUACACAUUUGUCUCUCAUUUCUUAUCUGAUGGUCUAGAUUUAUCUUUACACAGAAAAUUAAAGGCUUGGAUGAAAAGCUGGGAUCCUUAUUGCUAUAACAAACUUCCAAUCCAAGAAUUGCAAUUAAAGAUCAAUUUAGCUGCCUCAAAAGGCUUGUUUAACAAAUGAAUAAUAGUUUCUUAUUAACUUAAAAUUAUUCAACUCAUUAAAACUUGUCAGCUCAACUCAUUUCAAAUUCAUCUUGUUUAAUUUAAUUAAGUUUAAAUGUUGUCGCUGUUAGCAAUAACAGAAAUAAAGAACAAGUAAAGACUAAGAACAAGCAAAGACUCUCAAUAUUUUCAAUCUUUUUGUGGUGUGUUACCCCAAUGCAACUGAUACCGUUUUCUUUAUAUAAUAGAAAAACAAAACAGGUUCUGCUAUAAUUCAGCUAUCACUACUUCCGAAAUAAAGAACAAGCAAAGACUCUCAAUAUUUUCAAUCUUUUUGUGGUGUGUUACACAAAUGCAACUGACACCGUUUUCUUUAUAUAAUAGAAAAACAAAACAGGUUCUGCUAUAAUUCAGCUAUCACUACUUCCACUAAUUCCACUUCCUAAAAACUAGUUCAACUUCAUAACAAACUAAUCCUAACAUUAUGGAGAAAUAACAAACAAAUAAAACUAAAUGCUUACUGCUGCAAUUUUUUAGCCGAAGCUUAUGACAGCAAAUAAAAUAAACAAAACAAGUUUAAUAACUAACAUUCACUCCCCUAAACUUGUUGGCUAUAUUGUCUCAAUCUUCUUCAGAUCAAUUUUCUCCCUCAACUCCAAGAACCAUUGUCUUGCUAAUGGCUUGACUGACCAGAAGUAAUUAUGCAACUUGGGCAAUUAAGAUGGAAGUUUUCAUGAUGGCACAGGGUGUUUGGGAAGCAAUCGAAACACCUGAAAUUGUAGAUAGCCGCAGAGAUGAGAUGGCUUUGGCAGCCAUUUAUCAAAGCAUAAGUGAAGAUGUGCUGCUACAGCUGGGAGCCAGGAAAACUGCCAAGGAGGCAUGGAACAUGUUGAAAAACAUGAAUCUCGAUGCAGAAAAGGUGAAGGAGGUUCGAACGCAGACUCUCUGGUGUGAAUUUGACGAUCUCAAAAUGGGUGACUCAGAAAGUGUUGAUGAGUAUUCUGGGAAACUCACUAUCAUUGUUAACAAAUUAAGAGGCCUCGGAAAUACUGUGGAGGACGUUAAAGUGGUAAAAAAACUUCUGCGAUCUACCUCUGCAAAAUUUCUUCAAAUUACCUCUACAAUUGAGGAGUUUAGUGAUCUCAAUUCAAAAACUGUCGAUGAGAUCAUUAGAUCCCUCAAAGCACAUGAAGAAAGGUUGCAAGGUUUUGGAGAUAAGGAUGAGACUGUUCUUUUCACUCGUGCAGAAUGGAAGGCACGAGAGAACUCAAAUUCCUCGAAGAAAGAAGUGAGGGAUCAAGGCAGUUCGCGAGGUGGUAGGGGUAGGGGUCGUGGAAGAGAAAGAGGCCGAGGAAGAAGUGAUUCAUACCAAGGAGCUGAAGGAGGGUCACAAACUCAGAAGAAAAAGUUUGAUAAAAGUAAAAUCAAAUGCUACAGUUGUAAACAAAUGGGGCACUUCGCAUCGGAGUGUUUUAACAAGACUGAACAACUAAACCUGCCGAAAAAACAGAAGGAUGAGGAGUCUUCACUGCUGAUGAUAGAAACGUGUGAAGUGCAAAACACACAUGAUGGACAAGCUGAGUUUGUGAUGUUGAAUGAAAUGAUCGUACCUCCACCUUCAAAUACUGGAGCCGAAAAUUCCUGGUUUUUGGAUACAGGUGCGAGCAAUCAUAUGUCUAGAGAAAGGAAGAUGUUUCAUGAGCUCGACACAUCGAUUGUGGGAAAGGUACGCUUUGGAGAUAAUUCUGUAAUAGAAAUCUGUGGUCGAGGGAUAGUGCUCUUUAAAUGUAAAACUAAUGAGCACUUGAUCUUGUCACAAGUCUAUUAUAUACCCAAACUUAAAAGCAAUAUAAUAAGUUUGGGUCAGCUAGAUGAGAGUGGAAAUAAGGUAGUUAUUGAAAAUGGUAUAAUGAAAGUUUAUGAUAAAGCUCGGAGCUUAAUUAUCAUGGUGAACAGGCAAUCUAACAAAUUGUAUGUAGCGAAGCUGAGUCUUGCAGAGCAGGUGUGUUUAAUGGCGAAAAUUGAAGAUGAAGGAUGGCUCUGGCAUGCUCGAUAUGGCCAUCUGAAUUUCCACUCAUUGAGACAAUUAACUAACAGAAGAUUGGUAGAGUGGUUGCCGAAAAUAACCCAAGUUAAUUAGUUCUGUGAUGGAUAUUUAAUUGGGAAGUUGCACAGAAUUCCUUUUCUACGAACAACAAAUUAUCGUGCAAAGGAACCGCUGGACCUCAUUCAUGGAGAUUUGUGUGGACCGAUUUCGCCAAUAACAUUUGGAGGUAACAUAUAUUUUUUAUUAUUAGUGGAUGGUUUUUCUCGUUUCAUGUGGGUGUUCUUUUUGAAGUAUAAGAGUGAAACGCUGGUUGUGUUCAAAAAGUUUAAAACCAGUGUUGAGGUAGAAAAGGGCAAGAAGAUUAAAAGUUUCAGGACAGAUCGGGGAGGAGAAUUUGUGUCCACUGCCUUCAAAGAAUUUUGUGAAAAGGAAGGCUUGAAGAGGUUCCUUACAGCACCAUACUCGCCGCAACAAAACGGUGUAGUGGAAAGGCGAAAUCAGACAGUUGUGGAAAUGGCCAGGUGCAUGCUAAAGAGCAAGGAGAUGCCUGCAAAAUUUUGGGGAGAAGCUGUUAAAAUUGCAGUCUACAUCUUGAAAAGAUCAACAACAAAAGCUGUUGAAACAGGUACUCCAUAUCAAGCUUGGUAUGACAAGACACCAAAGGUUUAUCACUUUAAAAUCUUUGGUUGUCUUGCUCAUGUCAAAAAUAUCACUACACAUCUUCCUAAACUUGCUGAUAGGAGUAUAAAGACAGUCAUGUUGGGAUAUGAAGAGGGUAGCAAAGCCUAUAGACUGCUAGAUCCAUUGAAGAACAUAAUCAUGGUGAGCAGAGAUGUGGUGUUUGAAGAGGAGAAGCAGUGGUCUUGGAAUAAAGACUCAACUGGCGUUGAAAAAGAAAGUGGAACGUUCACUGUUCGUUUUUCAGAAAAACAGAGUAGAACAGAGGAGGAAAACAACGAACAAAUCGAAGUUGAUCAAGGUGAAAGACAAACAGAGUCAUCAUCGUCAACUUCGGCAAUGCCAGAAAUCACUACAUCAGCUUCAUCCUCAAGCUCAUCAACACCGAAAAAGUUCAGAUCUAUAGAAGAUAUUUAUAGAGAGCUGAACGAAGCAGAAGAGGCAGCCGUUGGUCUUUGUUUUCUUUAUAUAGAAAAACCAACCUCAUAUGAGGAAGCUUCUAAGAACGAAAACUGGGUAGAUGCAAUGAAAUCAGAAAUUUUUUCAAUUGAAAAGAACGGUACUUGGGAGCUUGCAAAUUUGCCGAAGAAUCAAAAGGCAAUUGGAAUGAAAUGGGUUUUUAAGUUAAAAAGAAAUCCAGAAGGGAAGAUUGUGAAGCACAAGGCGAGACUUGUGACGAAGGGAUAUGCACAGCAGUUUGGUGUAGAUUAUGGCGACGUCUUUGCACCAGUGGCCAGGUUAGAAACAGUACGUCUAAUUUUGGCAUUUGCAGCAAUGAAGAACUGGGAGGUACAUCACAUGGAUGUAAAGACAGCCUUUCUGAAUGGCGAUUUAAAAGAAGAGAUGUAUGUUGUUCAGCCAGAACGGUUCAUUGAUAAGGAAAAUCCAAACAAGGUAUUAAAACUCUAUAAAGCCUUGUAUGGAUUAAAACAGGCUCCUAGAGCCUGGAAUUUUAAACUUGAUCAGAGUUUGCAGUUUCUUGAUUUUAUUAUAUGUCCACAGGAACAUGCACUUUAUAAAAGAGUAAAUGGAGAUGAAAUGUUGAUGGUUGGUACAUAUGUGGAUGAUCUAAUUAUAACUGGCUCAAAUAAAAGAGUUAUAGCUCAAUUUAAGAAGGAAAUGCAGAAGCAAUUCGAGAUGAGUGACCUCAGAUUAUUGAGCUAUUAUUUGGGCAUAGAAGUACGUCAGAAUAGUGAUUCAAUCACUCUAUGUCAGGCUGGUUAUGCAAAGAAAAUACUGGAGAAGCUAGGAUUGAGGGAGUGUAAUUCUUGUUCAAUUCCAAUGGAGCCGAAAGUGAAGAUGAGCAAGCAUGGGAAUGGAGAACCUGAAGUUGAUAAAACUCUCUAUAGAAGUGUGAUUGGAAGUCUACGCUAUCUGGUUAAUACACGGCCUGAUAUAGCCUACUCUGUUGGAGUUGUGAGUAGAUACAUAGAGGCACCUACAACCUCACAUCUUGCAGCAGUAAAGCAGAUUUUGAGGUAUAUUAAAGGUACUCUGAAUUUUGGUUGUAUCUAUAGCAAGAAACUGUCAAAUUUGGAGUUAGUAGGAUUUAGUGACAGUGAUAUGGCCGGAGAUAUUGAUGAUCGGAAAAGUACAAUUGGUGUAUUAUUUUAUUUGGGUGAAAAUCCUAUAACCUUGGUGUCACAGAAGCAGAAGGUGGUAGCCUUAUCAUCUUGUGAGGCUGAAUACAUAGCUGCCACGGCUGGUACUUGUCAAGGAGUUUGGUUGAGCAGAAUUUUAAGUGAUAUUAGUCAACAACAGGUGAAACUGAAGCUUAAUGUAGAUAAUAAAUCGGCAAUAGCGUUGGCUAAAAAUUCAGUCUAUCACGAUCGAAGUAAGCACAUCGAUACCAGGUUCCAUUUUAUCCGUCAAUGUGUUCAAUAUGAAGUUAUUGAGCUGGAGUAUGUAAAUACAAAUGAACAGUUGGCGGACAUUCUGACCAAGCCAUUAGCAAGACAACGGUUCUUGGAGUUGAGGGAGAAAAUUGGUCUGAAGAAGAUUGAGCCAGUAUAGCCAACAAGUUUAGGGGAGUGAAUGUUAGUUAUUAAACUUGUUUUGUUUAUUUUAUUUGCUGUCAUAAGCUUCUGCUAAAAAAUUGCAGCAGUAAGCAUUUAGUUUUAUUUAUUUUUUAUUUCUCCAUAAUGUUAGAAUUAGUUUGUUAUGAAGUUGAACUAGUUUUUAGGAAGUGGAAUUAGUGGAAGUAGUGAUAGCUGAAUUAUAGCAGAACCUGUUUUGUUUUUAAAACUCUCUAUAAAAGUGUGAUUGGAAGUCUACGCUAUCUGGUUAAUACACGGCCUGAUAUAGCCUACUCUAUUGGAGUUGUGAGUAGAUACAUGGGGCACUUGAUUUUACUUUUAUCAAACUUUUUCUUCUGAGUUUGUGACCCUCCUUCAACUCCUUGGUAUGAAUCACUUCUUCCUCGGCCUCUUCUUCUUCCACGACCCCUACCCCUGCCACCUCGCGAACUGCCUUGAUCCCUCACUUCUUUCUUCGAGGAAUUUGAGUUCUCCCGUGCCUUCCAUUCUGCACGAGUGAAAAGAACAGUCUCAUCCUUAUCUCCAAAACCUUGCAACCUUUCUUCAUGUGCUUUGAGGGAUCCAAUGAUCUCAUCGACAGUUUUCGAAUUGAGAUCACUAAACUCCUCAAUUGUAGAGGUAAUUCGAACCUCCUUCACCUUUUCUGCACCGAGAUUCAUGUUUUUCAACAUGUUCCAUGCCUCCUUGGCAGUUUGCCUGGCUCCCAGCUGUAGCAGCACAUCUUCACUUAUGCUUUGAUAAAUGGCUGCCAAAGCCAUCUUAUCUCUGCGGCUAUCUACAAUUUCAGGUGUUUCAAUUGCUUCUUAAACACCCUGUGCCAUCAUGAAAACUUCCAUCUUAAUUGCCCAAGCUGUAUAAUUACUUCUGGUCAGCAUUGGGUAUUUAAGCGUGACUGACCCUUCCUUUUCUUGAAUCCUCACACUUACUUCAUUCGAGGUACCAUCUCCAGUAUCACUCUUUUCCUCUCUUUGUUUUUGUUCUCUUUCUCUUUGCUCUCUUCUUGACCGCUCAAUUUCUAAAUGAGACAUUAACGAAAAUCAGGCCUUGAUCUUGUGGCUCUGAUACCAACUGUUAGCAAUAUCAGAAAUAAAGAACAAGCAAAGACUAAGAACAAGCAAAGACUCUCAAUAUUUUCAAUCUUUUUGUGGUGUGUUACCUCCAAAUGUUAUUGGCGAAAUCGGUCCACACAAAUCUCCAUGAAUGAGGUCCAGCGGUUCCUUUGCACGAUAAUUUGCUGUUCGUAGAAAAGGAAUUCUAUGCAACUUCCCAAUUAAACAUUGACUAACAGAAGAUUGGUAGAGGGGUUGCCGAAAAUAACCCAAGUUAAUCAGUUCUGUGAUGGAUGUUUAAUUGGGAAGUUGCACAGAAUUCCUUUUUCCACGAACAGCAAAUUAUCGUGCAAAGGAACCCCGGGAGAGGAGACCCCAUUAGCUAGGGAGAGAGCUAAAAAGAGAGAUUGCUGAAACUCUGUGGGAAGAGUUUUGUGAGAGUUGUCUCUUGUAUUAUUUCCUUUUAGUGAAUAAAAGGUUGGGAAAGUUAUUUCCUGUAAAUACUGUUGUCUUGCACUUUGUUGGUUGAGAUUCUGUGCCUUUCGAACCUCACUUUAUGAGAGCAUGUGGCUGAGCCAAGUGGGAUUUCUUGGUUGCCUAGCAGGUUUCUAAGUGUUUUGUUCCGCUGCGUGUGUUUCGACUUAGACCCGUUACCCCAAUGCAACUGACACCGUUUUCUUUAUAUAAUAGAAAAACAAAACAGGUUCUGCUAUAAUUCAGCUAUCACUACUUCCACUAAUUCCACUUCCUAAAAACUAGUUCAACUUCAUAACAAACUAAUCCUAACAUUAUGGAGAAAUAACAAACAAAUAAAACUAAAUGCUUACUGCUGCAAUUUUUUAGCAGAAGCUUAUGACAGCAAAUAAAAUAAACAAAACAAGUUUAAUAACUAACAUUCACUCCCCUAAACUUGUUGGCUAUACUGUCUCAAUCUUCUUCAGACCAAUUUUCUCCCUCAACUCCAAGAACCGUUGUCUUGCUAAUGGCUUGGUCAGAAUGUCCGCUAACUGUUCAUUUGUAUUUACAUACUCUAGCUCAAUAACUUCAGAUUGAACACAUUGACGGAUAAAAUGGAACCUGGUAUCGAUGUGCUUACUUCAAUCGUGAUAGACUGGAUUUUUAGCCAACGCUAUUGCCGAUUUAUUAUCUACAUUAAGCUUCAGUUUCACCUGUUGUUGACUAAUAUCACUUAAAAUUCUGCUCAACCAAACUCCUUGACAAGUACCAGCCGUGGCAGCUAUGUAUUCAGCCUCACAAGAUGACAAGGCUACCACCUUCUGCUUCUGUGACACCCAGGUUAUAGGAUUUUCACCCAAAUAAAACAAUACACCAGUUGUACUUUUCCAAUCAUCAAUAUCUCCGGCCAUAUCACUAUCACUAAAUCCUACUAACUCCAAAUUUGACAAUUUCUUGCUAUAGAUACAACCAAAAUUCAGAGUACCUUUAAUAUACCUCAAAAUCUGCUUUACUGCUGCAAGAUAUGAGGUUGUAGGUGCCUCCAUGUAUCUACUCACAACUCCAACAGAGUAGGCUAUAUCAAGCCGUGUACUAACCAGAUAGCGUAGACUUCCAAUCACACUUCUAUAGAGAGUUUUAUCAACUUCAGGUUCUCCAUUCCCAUGCUUGCUCAUCUUCACUUUCGGCUCCAUGGGAAUUGAACAAGAAUUACACUCCCCCAAUCCUAGCUUCUCCAGUAUUUUCUUUGCAUAACCAGCCUGACAUAGAGUGAUUGAAUCACUAUUCUGAUGUACUUCUAUGCCCAAAUAAUAGCUCAAUAAUCCGAGGUCACUCAUCUCGAAUUGCUUCUGCAUUUCCUUCUUAAAUUGAGCUAUAACUUUUUUAUUUGAGCCAGUUAUAAUUAGAUCAUCCACAUAUGUACCAACCAUCAACAUUUCAUCUCCAUUUACUCUUUUAUAAAGUGCAUGUUCCUGUGGACAUCUAAUAAAACCAAGAAACUGCAAACUUUGAUCAAGUUUAAAAUUCCAGGCUCUAGGAGCCUGUUUUAAUCCAUACAAGGCUUUAUAGAGUUUUAAUACCUUGUUUGGAUUUUCCUUAUCAACGAACCCUUCUAGCUGAACAACAUACACCUCCUCUUUUAAAUCGCCAUUCAGAAAGGCUAUCUUUACAUCCAUGCCAAAAUUAGACGCACUGUUUCUAACCUGGCCACUGGUGCAAAGACUUCGCCAUAAUCUACACCAAACUGCUGUGCAUAUCCCUUCGCCACAAGUCUCGCCUUGUGCUUCACAAUCUUCCCUUCUGGAUUUCUUUUUAACUUAAAAACCCAUUUCAUUCCAAUUGGCUUUUGAUUCUUCCGCAAAUCUGCAAGCUCCCAAGUACCGUUCAUUUCAAUUGAAAAAAUUUCUGAUUUCAUUGCAUCUACCCAGUUUUCGUUCUUAGAAGCUUCCUCAUAUGAGGUUGGUUCUUCUAUAGAAAGAAAACAAAGACCAACGGCUGCCUCUUCUGCUUCGUUCAGCUCUCUAUAAAUAUCUUCUAUAGAUCUGAACUUUUUCGGUGUUGAUGAGCUUGAGGAUGAAGCUGAUGUAGUGAUUUCUGGCGUUGCCGAAGUUGACGAUGAUGACUCUGUUUGUCUUUCACCUUGAUCAACUUCGAUUUGUUCACUGUUUUCCUCCUCUGUUCUACUCUGUUUUUCUGAAAAAUGAACAGUGAACGUUCCACUUUCUUUUUCAAUGCCAGUUGAGUCUUUAUUCCAAGACCACUGCUUCUCCUCUUCAAACACCACGUCUCUGCUUACCAUUAUUAUGUUCUUCAAUGGAUCUAGCAGUCUAUAGGCUUUGCUACCCUCUUCAUAUCCCAACAUGACUGUCUUUAUACUCCUAUCAGCAAGUUUAGGAAGAUGUGUAGUGAUAUUUUUGACAUGAGCAAGACAACCAAAGAUUUUAAAGUGAUAAACCUUUGGUGUCUUGUCAUACCAAGCUUGAUAUGGAGUACCUGUUUCAACAGCUUUUGUUGUUGAUCUGUUCAAGAUGUAGACUGCAAUUUUAACAGCUUCUCCCCAAAAUUUUGCGGGCAUCUCCUUGCUCUUUAGCAUGCACCUGGCCAUUUCCACAACUGUCUGAUUUCGCCUUUCCACCAUACCGUUUUGUUGCGGCGAGUAUGGUGCUAUAAGGAACCUCUUCAAGCCUUCCUUUUCACAAAAUUCUUUGAAGGCAGUGGACACAAAUUCUCCUCCUCGAUCUGUCCUGAAACUUUUAAUCUUCUUGCCCUUUUCUACCUGAACACUGGUUUUAAACUUUUUGAACACAACCAGCGUUUCACUCUUAUACUUCAAAAAGAACACCCACAUGAAACGAGAAAAAUCAUCCACCAAUAAUAAAAAAUAUCUGUUACCUCCAAAUGUUAUUGGCGAAAUCGGUCCACACAAAUCUCCAUGAAUGAGGCCCAGCGGUUCCUUUGCAUGAUAAUUUGCUGUUCGUGGAAAAGGAAUUCUGUGCAACUUCCCAAUUAAACAUCCAUCACAGAACUGAUUAACUUGGGUUAUUUUCGGCAACCCCUCUAUCAAUCUUCUGUUAGUCAAUUGUCUCAAUGAGUGGAAAUUCAGAUGGCCAUAUCGAGCAUGCCAGAGCCAUCCUUCAUCUUCACUUUUUGCCAUUAAACACACCUGCUCUGCAAGACUCAGCUUCGCUACAUACAAUCUGUUAGAUUGCCUGUUCACCAUGAUAAUUAAGCUCCGGGCUUUAUCAUAAACUUUCAUUAUACCAUUUUCAAUAACUACCUUAUUUCCACUCUCAUCUAGCUGACCUAAACUUAUUAUAUUGCUUUUAAGUUUGGGUAUGUAAUAGACUUGUGACAAGAUCAAGUGCUCAUUAGUUUUACAUUUAAAGAGCACUAUCCCUCGACCACAGAUUUCUAUUAUAGAAUUAUCUCCAAAUCAUACCUUUCCCACAAUCGAUGUGUCGAGCUCAUGAAACAUCUUCCUUUCUCCAGACAUAUGAUUGCUUGCACCUGUAUCCAAAACCAGGAAUUUUCGGCUCCAGUAUUUGAAGGUGGAGGUACGAUCGUUUCAUUCAACAUCACAAACUCAGCUUGUCCGUCAUGUGUGUUUUGCACUUCACACGUUUCUAUCAUCAGCAGUGAAGACUCCUCAUCCUUCUGUUUUUCUGCCAGAUUCAGUUGUUCAGUCUUGUUAGAACACUCCGAUGCGAAGUGCCCCAUUUGUUUACAACUGUAGCAUUUGAUUUUACUUUUAUCAAACUUUUUCUUCUGAGUUUGUGACCCUCCUUCAGCUCCUUGGUAUGAAUCACUUCUUCCUCGGCCUCCUCCUCUUCCACGACCCCUACCCCUGCCACCUCGCGAACUGCCUUGAUCCCUCACUUCUUUCUUCGAGGAAUUUGAGUUCUCUCGUGCCUUCCAUUCUGCACGAGUGAAAAGAACAGUCUCAUCCUUAUCUCCAAAACCUUGCAACCUUUCUUCAUGUGAUUUGAGGGAUCCAAUGAUCUCAUCGACAGUUUUCGAAUUGAGAUCACUAAACUCCUCAAUUGUAGAGGUAAUUUGAAGAAAUUUUGCAGAGGUAGAUCGCAGAAGUUUUUUUUACCACUUUAACGUCCUCCACAGUAUUUCCAAGGCCUCUUAAUUUGUUAACAAUGAUAGUGAGUUUCCCAGAAUACUCAUCAACACUUUCUGAGUCACCCAUUUUGAGAUCGUCAAAUUCACGCCAGAGAGUCUGCGUUCGAACCUCCUUCACCUUUUCUGCACCGAAAUUCAUGUUUUUCAACAUGUUCCAUGCCUCCUUGGCAGUUUUCCUAGCUCCCAGCUGUAGCAGCACAUCUUCACUUAUGCUUUGAUAAAUGGCUGCCAAAGCCAUCUUAUCUCUGCGGCUAUCUACAAUUUCAGGUGUUUCGAUUGCUUCCCAAACACCCUGUGCCAUCAUGAAAACUUCCAUCUUAAUUGCCCAAGCUGCAUAAUUACUUCUGGUCAGCAUUGGGUAUUUGAGCGUGACUGACCCUUCCUUCUCUUGAAUCCUCACACUUACUUCAUUCGAGGUACCAUCUCCAGUAUCACUCUUUUCCUCUCUUUGUUUUUGUUCUCUUUCUCUUUGCUCUCUUCUUGACCGCUCAAUUUCUAAAUGAGACAUUAAUGAAAAUCAGGCCUUGAUCUUGUGGCUCUGAUACCAACUGUUAGCAAUAACAUAAAUAAAGAACAAGCAAAGACUAAGAACAAGCAAAGACUAUCAAUAUUUUCAAUCUUUUUGUGGUGUGUUACUCCAAUGCAACUGACACCGUUUUCUUUAUAUAAUAGAAAAACAAAACAGGUUUUGCUAUAAUUCAGCUAUUACUACUUCCACUAAUUCCACUUCCUAAAAACUAGUUCAACUUCAUAACAAACUAAUCCUAACAUUAUGGAGAAAUAACAAACAAAUAAAACUAAAUGCUUACUGCUGCCAUUUUUUAGCAGAAGCUUAUGACAGCAAAUAAAAUAAACAAAACAAGUUUAAUAACUAACAGUCGCCACUACCAUUAUUAUUAUUAUUAUUAUUUUAUGAAAUAAAAUAUUUUUAUAAUUUAAAUAUGAAUGGAUAAUCGAUGAUAUAAUGUGUAUAUAUAUAUAGUUAUGUAAUUAAAUUUAUUAUAUUUAUAUCAAAUUUUUUUAAGAAAUAUAUCAAUAUAUUUAUAUCAUGUGUUGUAUUGUAUUUGUAGUAAUUUUUUAGGAAAUUAUGUAAUAAUUAUUUAAAUUACAUAAUAUUUUUAAAAACUGGUUAUUACCCUUUUAUGUUUUCUGCUAUUUCUAGAUAAAGACAAAACCCAUACGCCCAGCAUUUGCCUUUUGUCCCUGCAAUUUUAGUUUCUCCCUGCGGUUCCUUUUGCCACUGCAACAUAGCUCUCAUUUGGCCUGUCAAGGAGCUUUUGCUGUUCCAUUUUUCCAUCCCAGUGCUGCACUUGUUGGACUGCAUUUCUUCUUUUAUUUCUCAUCAAGAUUGGUAAGUCUUUUUUUUUUUUGUUUUUGUUGUCUAUCUGUUACAAUUUUUCAUCUACAACCUUGCCCAUCUAAACUUUUUAUGGUCUAUGACUCUUUGUAAACAAUGGAAACGAUAGUUGAUGAUAAUCAUCAAGUAUGGGAAGAUGCUGGAGGUCUUUUAAAUGAUUUGGUUACCAUUAUACUGUGCAUGAUUUUAUCUAGUUUAAUACUUCUGUGAACCAAUUUGUCAAGUAAGUGUCGUGCCAACUAAGUAUAAGCUUAAACACGGUAAAGAUGUUGAAGAUUCUGAAAAUGGAGUUUUUAGUAAGAAAAACCCAAGAACUUCAUAAAAAUUAAUUACGUGAUAAAUUUAAGAAAUGUUUUGGAACACUUUUACUUUCAAUGAUACCACAGGAAAUGUUGAAAUAUCUAUCAUAUUUCUAAAUUUAAGGUGAAAACCAAAAGAAAAUAAAACAAAGAAGGAAAUAGAGAAGCAGCAUGCAUAUGGAUCGGAGGACUCUGAUUAAUUAGCUGGAAGUAGAGGUGAUAUGAGAGGAAAAGUUUCAAAUGACGGAUAAACUUCUUUGAUUCUUUCUCUGGGUGCAUUACACAAACACCAAGAAGUCACUGAAUUAUAUGUUAUCUUAAGUGCACACUAAGAAGCACCUUUAUAAGAUCACAUCCAAACAGAUCUACAAUAAGAGGAUUAUAUAUAUACUUUUCAUUUUUACUGCUUAAACCAUUUUGUUCCAUGUAUGAAUAAAAUUGCUGUUAUAGGAAAUGCAAUUCUAACGACCCCAAAAUGGACCGUCACCGGCGCUAGGAUUCAGGUCGGCUUAAGGUCGCCAGAACCCGUAGCAAGCCUGCUAUACUCUCUGUGUACCUGUAAACCUCAUACAUGAUCAUACAUUUUAUGUGAAAAUAAAACUCUUUUCUGAACCAAGGCUCAACCUGUGCAUGCACUAUCUCUGUACUCUGUACUCAUGUACUCUGUACUCUGUAUCCCUGACUAGAGCUUGCUCUAGAUGNNNNNNNNNNNNNNNNNNNNNNNNNNNNNNNNNNNNNNNNNNNNNNNNNNNNNNNNNNNNNNNNNNNNNNNNNNNNNNNNNNNNNNNNNNNNNNNNNNNNNNNNNNNNNNNNNNNNNNNNNNNNNNNNNNNNNNNNNNNNNNNNNNNNNNNNNNNNNNNNNNNNNNNNNNNNNNNNNNNNNNNNNNNNNNNNNNNAUAACACAUAAACAUGUAUACAUGCAUAACUCAUCAAAACUAUCAUUAAGAACCUAAACAUGCAUCUCCUUCCACAAAUCCCCCUAAAACCUUCAGAAAACAUAUUCAAGAACAUCACUUACCUCCUGUAGUAAGAAGCUACACACUCUGAACAAGGGAAAACGGAUCACCUCCUCUCACACUCUUAAACUCUCUCAAACUCACUUUUUGCUUCACAAUCUUCAACACUUGGUAAAUGAGCAAACUCCUGCAUGAGCUGCUCAAACUCAGCAAAUAAACCAAGGGAGACGUGGCCAAACUUCUGGCAACAAAGGGGACAUAACACCUGUCCAAAAUGCUGACUAAGGAUGCCCAAAAGCUAGCUGGCCAACUCAGUUUCGGCUGCCCAAACGCAUGCAAAACCAUGCAACAUUCGGGGGCCGAACUCACCUUCGGAAGCCGAACACCUUCGGCGGCCGAACUUACCUUCGGCGGCCGAACUUGGCUCAACUGCCUUAGGUUAUUUCAACUCAAAACUCACUUCCAUUAACCGUAAAACAUCACUACAAAUCAUACCACAUAGUAAAAAUAAAUUCUACCUUUUUCUAGAAUUUCGACACCCCGGAUUCCACCAAACAACAGGAAUUCCGGUGCCGGACUCUAGCCGGGUAUUACAGCAAUGGUUUACAAUGUAGAUAUGUGAGUCAAUAGUAAUAUUAAUUAACUCCUUUAAUUUAUUUAUUAUUUUAUAAGUGUAAGGGAUAUAUUCAAGAGGCCGUCUUAUUUUAGUAUAUUUUGUUGAUACAUUAACUUUUUUUAGCUAUAGUUUGAUAUAUUAUUGAUACUGCUAAUAUUUUAUUUUUCUUAGGUAUUUAUUUAGAGUUAUCCUCAAAUUCUCAACUUAUUGUUUAUCAUGUAGGCAUGUUUAUUGACAUAUUAUUAUUUAUAUUUUACUUUUAAUUUACACAUGAUAUUUUUCUAGUUUUAUCAUAAUAUAAAUGGCACCUAAAUGAGAAUAUGGUCAAAGUAGUAAACAUGAUCAUGAUAAACGGUCACGUGACAACAAGGUAAUGUGUGUUUAUUUAUAUAGAUUGAUUUUAGAUUUUAUUAAUAUAACAUUUUAGAAAUUUAUAUAUUAGGAAAAGCACGAGGCGUUGAUUGGAGUAAAUAUAUAAUAUCUCCAAUCCGGUCACAGGCUACAAGUAUCAAAUUUUUUUAUUAUAAGUGUUAAUUUAAUUUUUAUGUGAUUAUUAAAGUUUUUUUUUUUUGAAUUAUUAUAGGUGUUAAUUUAAUUUUUAUGUGAUUAUUAAAGUUUUUUUUGAAUCCAGAUACAUGUUGGGCUAUUUCAGUAGCGGCUGUAAUUGAAGCAUGAUGUAACAUGGUUCUUACAGAAGAGAACAAAAAUUCUUGGCUCUCUUUAUCUACUCAGAUGUUAAUUAACCUACUAGGUGAUCUUACCCUUACUAAUUUUAAAUCCCUACAUGAAGUAUUAGUCAACGAUGGGCUAUAUAUGGAAGAGGAAUGUCCUUACAUAGGAAAAAAGCCUUGUCAUAUAAGACAGGUAAGUGUCUAACAUGUCUCUCAUUAAUUCAAGCCAAAUUAAAUAACACUAAAAUUAUGCUUCAUUUAUUCAGAUACGAAGAGGUAUAACAGCCAAAAUCACUGAAACUCGGUUGAUAAAGAAGGAGAUAAAUGAAGCACAAUUGGUGAAACUCGGUUGAUAAAGAAGGAGAUAAAUGAAGCACAAUUGGAGAAAAUUGUUACUGAAGGACCUAUAAUGGGUGUCAUUCGUAUUUCAAAUAUUUUUGCAAAAUUGAAAAAAGAGGUAACUAUAAUUACAAUUAAAUUUUGCUUUUAUUGACUAUCAUUUUAUUUUAAAAUAACUAAUUAAUUAUACAUAUUACAAUAAUGUAGGAUAUAUAUAGAGGAUAUGAAACAUCAGAGGAAGGUCUACUGCAUUUCGUAGUUAUUGUUGGAUUUGGAGUUGAUAAAGAUGAUACCAAAUAUUGGAAGUUCAUAAAUUCUCAUGGAAGAAAUUGGGGUAAUGAAGGACAUGGAAGAAUAAUAAGAGUAUCAGGGAAAUCAAUCUUUGUCUAUAUAUGGUAUCCUGAGGUUGGAAAAUAUUAUUUAUUUACAAUCAUUUCAUGUAAUUGUAGUUUUAAUUUUAUGUUUAGUCAUUCUAAUUUGCUAUAUCUUUAAUAAUUGAAGGGAAUUGAGUUGGUGGAUUAAGCCGGAGAAUCAAGUAAUGUUUAGAAUCUUGGCUGGUGAGAAGUGGUCUUCACAUCUAAAAACAUAGACCAUCAUAACUCAGGAUGUUCAACCAUUUGACUGCAUAAUGGAAAUUGCGGCCUCAAAUUUCACUUUACGGAGAAAAGUGGACACAAUACAUCUAUACUUCAAAGCUUGAAACCUUAGUCCACAUUUGAAAUUACUAUUGUGUGCGCGCUUUUGGAUCAUACGUUCAUCGUAAUGAAACUUUGAAAUAAAAGGCCUCCUUCUCUCAUUAGCUUUCUUUAAAAUUAGUGAUUGAGGUCGACUAUAUAUAUCUUUUUCUUUGUAGUAAAGCUACCAAGUUGAAUAUUUCAAUCAUUGAUAGCAUACUAGAUGCCCUAUGAUCGAACGUAAUUUCAACACAUUUUUCAUACUACUUUUAGCAUUAAAUUGAGUUUUUUUUAAUUAAUUUUAAAUUUUUUGGUGAUAUUUCAAAAAAAACAAAAGAGAAGUGAAUUUAAUAAAAAUGUGGUAAAAAGUGAUGAAAUUGACUUGAUCAACGAUUUGGCCAAACCGACUAGAUGAUCGUGUUUUACAGAAUCAAGAACUGUCCAAAUUCUCGAGCUGAGUUCACCAUAUUCCAGUUGAAAGAUUGGAGCAGCUGUUUGCUCAAACCAAUGGCCUAAUCAGCAGUCUGCAUAAAGACUUAACAAAAAGCAAAGAAUAGAAAAGAUGAGCAAAUCACGAGAAAAGGAGUUGAUUAUGUGCAGUGACUGAACCGAUUUGAUCAAUGAUUUUCCCAAGUCGUUGGGCAAACUACCGAACAAUAGCAGCAGAGACAGACCUAACAGUGAGCGAGAAAUUAAUUUAAAUUUGAAAUAAAAUAUCAAAUCUCCUCAUUCAAGCCAUGGGAUCUCACACGAUUUUUUUCCUUCUUAAAUGCAGCAUAAUAUUCUCCUUACAUCAAUGAGUCCUCUCAUGAAUGGAAACAUAUUAAAGUAGGAUUUUUAAAUUGAAGCAAUGAAAAUUUCCUAUUUCCAAAAGGAUUCUAUUAGGGUUGAGCACCUAUUUAAACCCACCAUUGUGGACAGUCGCAACAUCUAUCAUCAACACCGAUCUUCUGCCUCUCUCAACGACCAACUCUCUCUUCUUCUUUUGUAUUUUCUUUCAAAACCAUGAGUGGUUAAACUCUCUAUUUCUAGUUGGAGUUAGGUUCAAAUUUCACUUUAUACUUGGAUUGUGAGAUCUAAAUAUAAUUUUUCAUUUUUUAUUCUUCAAAUAUUUAUGCAAAUUCAGUUCUUCAUAUUAUUAUUGCUUUGUUAUUUGAUCAGUUGGGCUCAUUGUUCAUAUUUUCAAAGUAAUAUAGUAUUAGUUUGAAUACUUGAAGUCCGUAGUUACUUAGGUUAUUCAACAAGUAACAAUUAGUGUAACCCACUAAGAAAUUGCAUCAUCUAGUUUGAACUCACCACGCGGUUUGUUAUAUUGGUUAGAAUCUAGUCUCUCUAUUUCUUAAGGUAGUUGAUAAAUUAAAAUUCCAAAGUCAUUCUUUGGGCGAUUUGUUAACUAUAGUUAAUUAGCGAACAUUUCCUAGUUAAUUUAUACAUAAGGAGAGACUGAUUAUGAGGAGCGUCUUUCAUAAUUAAAACUAAUUUAUUAGAACGAAUAAAGGUAUUUUUGUUUCUAUGAUCAAUUUCCAAAGCUAAAAUAGAUCCUAAUCUUCAACUAGAAUUUACUUACAUUGAUUUUACUCUCUUUUAAUUAUCGCUUUUGUAAUACCGGGCUAAAAUCCAGUGUCGAAAUUCUAACUUUUCAACUGAAUUUCUGUUGAAAUUCAUAAUAUCGAAACUGAAAUCCUUAGAAGGGUAAAAUAGGGUUUCUAUAAAACGAUUUUAAAGCAUUUUUUAAAAUGUGUUAAAAAAAAGAAAAAAAAAAGAAGAGAGAGGAGUUCUAAGGUUCGGCUGCCAAACCUUCAAGUUCGACCGCUGACUGUGCGGUUGUCGAGACCGGUCAAAAAUAACCUUUCUGGUUAUCAACAAUCUUACAAUUGUAGAUAGUGGUGAAAGAAUCGAAUCCACAGGGAAUUGAUACUCACUUAUCUUUCUUAUCAAGACCAAGAGAACAAACUGAAAAUAAAAUAAAAUAAACUGCAAGUUAAGUAAAAGGGAGGGGUUUUGAGAUUGAUUCCGUUAAUCUAACGAUGAAAGCAAUAAAAUAAAGCAAAUAAUUAAAAUAAAGAUAAUCAAAUAUGAGAAAGGUCUAAUUGAAGAAUUGAAUCCACUUCAGUUGUUGGGAUUGAUCAUUGAUACUUAGGUCUUUUGUUUGAUUCAAUAAAUUAGUUAUGGAGAUGGAAGACGCUUCUCACCACCAUGUCUCUCCUUAAGCAUAAAUUAAUUAGGGAACGUCCUCUAACCAAUCACUAAUCAACAAGUUGUCAAGGAACGUCCUUAGGCCUUAGGCAUCAAAACAACUGUCAAUUGUAUUAAGAAAUAGAGAGAUCUAAUUCUAGCUACCCAAACGCAUGGAGAUAUCACUAGAUCAUGCAAUUUCCUUAGUUUUACACCAAGUGUUUUUGUGUUUGAAUAAUCCAAGCAAUUACGGACUUAAAACUAUUCAAACUAACAAUAUAUCACCUUGCAAUCAAGAAUCAGCUGGCCACAUUGAUCAAAAUAAUAAAGCAAUAAUGGAAUCAAGUAUGAAAUUGCAUAAAUAUUGAAUAAACAAAAGUUAAACAAUGUAUGUUCAGAUCUCCCAAUCCAUAAAACAACUAAAGUUUCAACAAAUCGUCAACUAGAAUAAAAAGUUUCAGCCACUCAUGGCUGAAAUAAAACUAAAAAAAAGAAGAAAAGAAGAAAAAGAGAAGAGGCCGAAGCCUUGGAGAAGAUGGAGAGGUGCGACUGCCCUUAUAUGGCCGAAUGGGAGAGAUCGUGUAACGACCCGGAAAUCGGACCGCUACCGGCGCUAGGAUCCAGAUCGACUUAAGGUCAUCGGGACCCGUAGCAAGCCUACUAUGCAUCCUGUGUACCUGAUAAAAUUCCAUACAUGAUCAUACAUUUUCAUAAAACUUUGAACAUUUAACGAACCAAAACCUGACCUGUGCAUGCAUCAACUGUAUACAUAAAACCCACACUAGAGUCCUCAUCAAAUACUCUAGCAUGGUAAACAUCACAUGCCUCAAGUUUGGUUCCAUCAUAACUCAUCAGUAAAACAUUUACAUAAAGAUCAUGUAAAAAGGGAUUACAACUAACAUUAGGGCCAAGCACAAUACUAAAUCACAACAUUAGAUUUUCUUUCAAUUUUAUUUUAUAUUCUUAAAAUGGGGAAUUUAUCAACAUUUCCAGGUUUAAUAAUUACCUAUGCCCCAGUACACAUAAUCAUCUUCCAUGAACUGUGCUUUGUCAUUUUAUUCUUAAUAUUGCUCAAGACUCGAUAAAACAGAGCUAAUCAAAUCUUCUCCAACAGCAAGGCUUCCUUAUGAUGGUGGCGUAAGGGAGGAUAUUCUAAGCAGCUAGGAUGAUGUAAUACAUGGAGGGGAGAUGAAAAGUGAAAUCACUCAAUUUAUGACUUUGCCAAUCCAUUUAGCCCCAUUUUAUUAAUUUGUUUGAUAUAAAAUUAAACAGAAGCUUAUCAAAGUUAUUGUUGGAUAUAUAUAUUACACUUAAUUCCACUGAAUUGCCGACAUAGGAUUUCAAUUCCACAUCCAAUUCAAAGUGAAGGUCCUACACCAUCUUUGAUAGGAGGUUUAAAAUUCUUAGUCACAUUAACUAAAACUUUUGUUAAGACUUUUAAAUAAUUUCUACUCAUUUUCAUAUAAAAAUUAAUUUUAUAUUAUAUUUAUUUUAAUUUUUUAUAUACAAUUUAUGAAUGUAAUACUUAUAAAUCCGUUAUUAUGAUUAUUGGGUUAAAUUAUGUAAUUAAUUAUAACUGCUUUGAGAUAUUCAUUUCAAAGAAAAAUACUAAAAGUAACAUCACUAGAGCUUCCAAGUAUGUUAGCAUUUUAUUUUAAACAAACAAGAAAGAUCCUACCAAGAGGAAAAUACAUAUAAUUGAAAGAAUCGAAUGGCGUGGAAGCAACUUCCUCCACUGUGCAGGAAGACAUGUACACUUUAUUAUUAUUAUUAUUUUAUAUAUACUAUCACUAGAAACUUACCCUGCGAUGCCGUAGAAACAAUAUUUACAGUACCCAUGCAUAAAUGUUCAAUGCAAAACAUAUCGAAUAUUGCAAUCACUCUCUAAGAAAACAUAAACACAUACUAAUAAUAAUAAUAAAAGAAAUAUAUGUAUUCUAAUCCUACUUUCUUAAUAAGAUAUUUCAUAAUAUUAAUUAAAAUUAAAAUAUGAGAGCAAUGACGAUUAAAAAAAUUUAAUAAUUUAAAUCAAAUUUGAUAUUUAAAACUCUCCAUUAAUCAAUAUGAGGCGUUAAAGAGCUCCCUUCGGAUAAACUCCUUCUCUAUCCAUUCUUUAAUAAGUUUUAAUGGUGGAUUGCAUCACGUGAUGAGGAGCUCUUUAACUUGUUUUAUUACUCAUAAAUUAAUAUCAUAUAUAUGACGAAAGGUUUACAAUAGCAAAAGAAUUCUAAUAAAUUAAAAGUACUACCCUCCUUACUAAUAACUAGAAAAUUUAUUCUAAUUUAAAUAAUAAUAAAAUAACAAAUAUUAAUAUAACUAAAAUGUUUAUCCUAUCUAAAUAAUAAUAAAUAUUGAUAAUAAAAAAAAACAUUCAUCCAAAUCUGAACAACAUUUUGAAAAGACUUCCUCAAUAUUUAGAGGCUAAUGAAUUUGAUAUAUUUAUUAUUCAUAACAUUACUUAUCUCUCAACAAAAAAAUAAUUGUCUUCGAGUUCAAAUUCUAAUAAACUUGGCUAAAGUGAUAUAUGAAAUUUUUUUUUGGGCAUCACUUUUUAUUGUCAGCAUUUGAUCCUCUUGCUCCUUUAUUUCUAGCCAAAGCAAUUCUUUAUACUGAUGGCUUCUUUAUUUUAAACUCGAUAUAUUAGCACAUUAGUAUCAAGUAGUCCUUUUAUAAUUUUAGAAUGAACCAUUCUAAACUAUCGUAGACUAUAUGGUGGACUAGGAAAUUGUCUAUUAUUAUUUACUCUCCAAUUCUUGCUUAUAGUUAGAUGCUUGUGGUAGAUACAUGUCAAUUAUCUUUUCUGCUUCCACUUAAGAAACAAUUUUAUUUUCGUUUUGAAUGUUCUCGUUCGAAAUACUAUUCCUGCUACCUUCACCCAUAGGUGCAUAUGAGUCUGUUGCAAUUGUUAUUGAGAUUACUAAAAAAAUUUUGUAAAUAGCAAAACAUAUGUUGCUUGAGCAAGGUUUCGAGCUGUUAGAUCCUCCCUGACAGUCUCUAUUAUUGCAUUGCCAGAAAUAAUUAUAGGAUCUCCUAACCUGCUGCUUGACUCUUUGGUAUUCGAUCUAUACAAACUUUUUUCCUAUGGAUUCUACUACUAGAUGUUACAAUAUCUUGUUUCAGGCGUCUGUCUCAAUCUUUUCCUCCGCAAGCCACACAUACCCGAAUUGAGCUAUGGGAGUUGCAUCAUUACAAAGCCUGUGCAAUUUGGGAGUAGGGUCUAGAAAAAGUUGUUGGUUCCUAGGCUUUCAAUCUCCAGGAUUCCACUUUCUACAGUAUUGAUAAAACAAUCAAUUUCCAAGGAAGAUAUUUGUUAAAUGACACCUGCCAUCAAAUCACCAUAAGUCCAGGAAUCAUCUGAGAUUAUUGGGAUAUACUUUACUAUAUUCUCCAAAUGGAAUAUUAGUCUUUUGCAAAGAAAUACACUUGCAAUAAUCUCGAACCUGUAAGAAUUUUCGACGCUGGCAAAUUUAAAAAUCUUUACACAUAUAUCAGCUUCAUUGACUUCUUGCCUACCGACCAAGUAUAUACAUCUCCAUAUAAAUGCUUGCUUCAUGUAAGGUAAUUACUCAUGGACUUCACACUUAUAACUUAUUUAUUCAAGAUAAUCUGCAUCAGGCUAACAUUUUGUGGAAAAAAAAUUGAGCGAAAUUGAUACAUAGUUAAGAAAUAUCACAAUUAGAUGCAACCAAUUAAAAGCAUACUACAAAGGUCAGUGAAAUUCAUGGAAGUUCUCAAUUCAUGAACUACUGCUCUUGGUGCAUCACAAUUGAUUAGAGAAUAAGUAACAUUAGAACAAAGCAAGAAAAUGAGAAAAAGGUCCUGAUCCCACAACAUAAUCAGCUGCAGGACCAAAAUAUUCUAAGAACACAACAAAAUCUGUAAUACUCAUUAUAUAUAAGAUUAAGACAAAUGGGGCAAUUCCAGGAAUUUGCAUCAACUGCAAAUAUAUAUAUAUAGAACAUGCAUACCUCCCCAAUCUGUGCAAUGGAAGCAUGUGUUCAAGUUCAUUGCACUGCAUAUACAGCAACUUCAUCCACCAUUUUGUUCUGCAAUUUUCUUCGAGACGAGGGGACGAGCACAAAAUGGUCAACUCUGAGAAAUUAAUUGAACUAUUUGUGUAAAUAAUGAAAGAUAACACUACAAACUUGCAACACAUUAUUCUAUUAAGGUAAAGAAUUCAUGAUUCUGUACUGGGGUAAAAGUUCUGGUGAAAAAAGAACAAAAAAUCACUAUGUUCGCAAAAAGAAAAGGUGCAUUUUGGAAAUUCUCAGUGAAGAAAUUUGGAUAAAUUAAAAAAUCCGCGUGGAAUAAUUAAAUGUAGUAAUGAAAAAAAGGAUUUUAUGCAUUGGGAAAAGAAAUUGGUCUAGAACGUGUUAGAUCUGAGCGUAAGAUGCAGGAAAGCGUUCUGAGUUUUGAUCUCCUCCAUUGAACCUAACCUCUGCUGCACAAUAGGGAGCCCAUUUCCAAAGACGCCAUUGGUGACCAAUGCCACUCUCCAACUAAAUGGCUUGCAGGGUUCUAUUCUUCCCAUUCUUCACCAGCGCUUCGAUUCAACAGAAGGAGCUAGGUCCAACCCCCAAAAAGGACAUAAAGAUGCAGCUCCCCAAGGCUGCUGAUCAAACAUAAUUUAGCCACAUUUUUAUUAUAUUUAUCACUGAUUAAUUACACAUUUUUCUAGCUUAAUUUAUGUUUUUGUUAUGUUUUUGUAGAAAAAGAAGAAAAUGGAAAGUUUGAGAAAAAGUGCAGAAAAAGCUGGAAACGUGAUUGGGUCAAAGCGAUUUGGCCAAAUCACCCGCAGAAAUCAGAAGCAGAAAGCUAAAGCAGAAAUCUGGAGGCAACACACAGAAACGAUUUGGGCAAGUGAUCUGCUCAAAUCACCCGCCCAAAUCACAUUGACGCAGAGAGACAGCAGAAGCGAGAAAAGUGCAGAAAACUGAAAUUCAAAAGCAAAGAAGUCCAAAUCCAUUUCAAACACCACCAGACCAGUCCCAAGAGCCACGGGAAUAUCUUUCACCAAAGGAAUUCCAUCCACAAUAAAAUUCAAAGAGAAAAGAGGAAUUAAAGACCACAAAGACCAAGUCAAAAUUGGGAUCUCCUAACCCUAAUUGAAUUUGGAUUCUCUAGCUAUAAAAGAGGACAGCAUCUACACCAGCAGAAUCAUCUCUUCACCUUCGAAAAUUCUGCAAAAACACAGCAGCUUUUCUUCUUUUCUUUCUUCUUCUCUUUUUGUGUAUUUUGUCCACCAUGAGUGGCUAAACACUUUUCCUUUCUAGUUGAAGUUGAAAAUUUCAGAUUUGUGAUGAGUUGGGAGAUUUAAUACUCCAUUAUUAACUCUUGUUUAUUUUCAAUAUUUAUGCAACUUGAUCUUUCUAUAAUUAUUGUUUUGCUUUUAAAAUCAAUUAAGGCCUGUUGCUUUUAAUUGCUUGAGUAAUAUAUUGUUUGAAUAAUUUAAGUCCGUAAUUGCUUAGGUUAUUGAUAAGCGGUUAUCGAAGCCGUCAAAAAUAAACCUAUUAAACAAUCAACAAUAAACUUGUAGAUAGUGGCAAUAGGGUCGAACCACAGGGAAUUGACACCAAUGAUUUUCCUAAUAAUGACUAGAUCAAGUAAAUAACAAGUAAUUAAAAGAGGGGGGUUUGAUUUGAUGAAUUAAAACUAAAUAGCAAAAGAAAGCAAUAAUUUAAAGAUGAGUAAAUCAAUAAGAGAAAAGCUUCUAGUUGAAGUAUGGAUUUAUUUCAGAUUGUUUAGAAUUGAUCAUUGAUUUUUUAACACUCCUAUUUAUUCCAAUAAAUUAGUUUAGGAUGUGGAAGACGCUUCUCACAAUCCAAAUUCCUCCUUAGUUCUAGUUUGAUUAGGAAACGUUCGCUAAUCAAACACUAUUUAACAAGUUGCCAAGGAACGUCCUUGGAGCCUUUGGCAUCGAACAACUGUCAACUGCAUUAAGACUUAGAGAAACCUAAUUCUAUCCUUGCCAACCGCGUGGUCAAGUUUAGAUUAUGCAAUUUGAUUAAAUGUGUAUUUGAACAACCUAAGCAAUUACGGACCUAAAUCAUUCAAACAAUAUUACUUAAGCAAUUUAAAAGCAAUGGGCCC
rnacentral:lncRNA from 1 species